rnacentral:lncRNA from 1 species
AAUCCACCAUCUGAAGGCCAACCACUCUCAGACACAACAACCUUAACAAAACCAAUUCCAGUAUUGUCAAUUGCAGCAUGUAAUGAAUCCAACAAAGCAUCAAAUAGAUUUUGGUAUCCCCUUGAACCAUCCCUAACCACAACAUUAGGAGAAGUGAAUAAAGCAUAUUGAAGUGAGAUGUCUUUUGGGUUAUCUUUAUAGCUAAAAUAAGAGUAAAUAUUUGCAAAUAAAGGUGCAUUUGCAUAUACUAAGUAGCCUAUAAUUGGAUCCAAAUAUGACCUCACAUCGCUUCUAAAUGAACCUUUAGACGGCGGGUACGAAGUUCCUAUCAUGGUCAUGUCAAUAGCCGUUGAAACCUUGAUUUGAUCUUGAAAAUUUUUCGCUCUUAUUGCUUGGUAUAUGUUUUGGAUUGCCGGAAGGACGAAUUUUGCAAAUUGAGAAGAGCCGCCAACUGGAUUAACUUCAUUACCGACCGCGAUGUAUUUGAUUUUAACACUAGGGUAGAAGUUUAGUACAUUUUUUUGUACCCAUUGAUUUGCAAUGUCUUUGUUGUUAGCAAUGUUUUGAAGAUCGGAGUUAGGCACACCUAACAUAAGCUCAAUACCAGAGUUUCUAAGUGCUUCAAGAGCAUCUGGGUUUGGAUCAUAUAGCCUCAUUCUUUUGAUGUUGUUUGAUUUGCAAAGAUCUAUUGCUUCACGUUGUGAUGGUAGAUUGGUUCCUUCCAUGCCAUAACAAACACCUAUUUGAGCACCUGCUUGUGAAAAUAUUGUAUGCAUCUCUUUAAUCAGCUCAAGUUGUAACAUUGUAAUUAGUGUUAACAUAUAAACUACUAAAAAAAAUUACAUUAGCAAAAUUAGAGUUUAAAAAAUGAAAUUCUUCAUUAAUUUUGUCGGCAAACUAUCCACUAGAUUUGUGCUGGAAAUUAAGAAGUGGCUGAGAGUUGUCCAUGCCAAUUGCCACACAUAAAAACACUGCGGUGGGCCUAUGCUAUAAAAAUAUUAGUAUAGUUCCAAACUCAAAUCAAAAUCAUUUAAAUAGACGUUUAUAAAAUACACAUAAUUUAACUAUCUUUUAUAAAUACAUAUUAUUUAAUUAUUUUCUCUGUCAUACUUAAUUUGCAUUCAUGUAAGUGUUUAAAAUAUUUUAUUUAUGUUUGUGACCAAACUAAUGUAUCUUGUAAAUUUUUAAAGCCGACUCAACAACGAAAACAAAAAAGGAAAUGGUAUAGAUUUCCUUAAAAAAAAGUAAAGAUAGUCACACAAAGAUAGUCACACAGUACGUCUCCAUUGAGAACGUGUCAUAGAAAAAAGAAAAAUUUAAUAUUAUUCAUUGUAAGGAGCUUUCUGACUUAAAGUACAAACAUGACUUUGUUAAGGAUGUCAUUUAUCAAGCGGGCAGGAGUAUUAAUGAAGAAUGAGGCGUCUGUGAACUUCCUGAUUAACCCACUAGAUAGAAGAUCGACAUUUAGGCAUGUAGAUGUUAUGGUGUACGCAUGGGUAGGAAGAAAACACGGAUGUGUGAACUUGACUGUGGUUUCACCACUUAUGGGAUUAUGGACGCGUCAAGAAAAGUGGUCAAACAUGAGAAAGCGUGUUCUGACAAUCAGCAUAUACUUUUUAUACCAUUUGAUUUUGACACUUUUGGUUUUCUAACACCAGAGAUUGUUGACCUUCUUCAUAUAGUACAAAGGGUCGUGCACAACAAUGUCUUGUCUUCUAAGUUCAUGAAUAUUGUAUUUACGAAAAUUGAUUUUGUCAUCUAAAAAGGCCUUACGGCGCAAUUUAUUGCAUGUUUAUCUUCUAUUCAUGUGUAAUAAUCUUUGAUAUAUAAAAAGAGUGUAUGGUUGUUGAGAGCAUAAAAAAUGAGAGUCUCAUUUUGACUUAAGAUCCUCUAAGAAAUUAAGAAGUCUCACAUUUAUGGAAACAAUGAAAAUAAAUGUAUUUAUAAAUGAUAGAGAGUUCCAUUCAUAGGUUCAAACUUUUAGACGAUAAACAUCUCACAAUUAAGAACACAAACUAACCCACUAUGUUGCAAAACUUCAUUGGACCUGUGUAAUAUGUCUACUUAAGAGACAAAAAAUUAAAUACAUAAAUUUAAUUUAUUUUUUUAUCUAAUUAUUCAGUCACUAAUUCAAUAUUAUCUAUUUCUGUCCAAAAAAAAUCAACUUUAUUGUUUAAUAGUAAAUAAGAAAAUUAGCUAGGAACUUCUACUUGUUUACUUACUUGUCAAGCGAAGAGUUACUGUAAACAGUGCAAACAGUAGCAGCAGAGAAGCCAUUACGGUACUGUUGCUUGUGAUCAUGCUAGGAAAGAAAGCUUUAACACAAAGGAAGUGUAAUAAAGCUUGAGUAUUAAGUUGAGUCCUAAACUUAUUUUUGCAAGUCACAUAUUUAUAUAGAGAUUCAUAUGCAGUGACCAAUACCUCGUGGUCAUGGGUCAUUAGUAUUUAGAAAUUUCUAUGGCUAUAUAUCACUUUCCUCAAUAGAAACUUUUUGUCCUUUAUAAUUAAUUCAUAAUUUCAGUAGACUAGUCGUUUUGGGUAGAUAGCUUAUCGUUUCUGUCCUUAUAUUAACGUAAGGUGGGAUAGAUAGUUUGUUUGGAAGUCUUGAGGAUAUAAAUGCCCAUUGAAAUGGCAAGGAAAUGGGGUCAAACAAUAUUGAAGUGUGGAAAAGUCUUGGAGAUAUAAGAAUCAUGUGGCUCACCAAUUUUUUAGCAAGAUUACGAGGACAAAUAAAAUGUUGGAUGAGUGGAUAAGAAGUACUUUAUUUCCAAUUUAUAAGAACAAAGGGGAUAUACAAAAUUGCUUGGAUUAUAGGGGAAUUAAACUAAUGAGUCUUACCAUGAAGUUAUGGGAAAGGGUGAUUGAAUGAAGACUAAGAAAAGAGACUCGAGUUAUCGAUAACCAAUUUGAUUUUAUGCCUAGGUGUCAACUAUGGAAGCGAUCUACUUACUUCGGCGUAUGAUGGAGAGAAACAUCGGAUGGAAAAAAAUGCCCACACUUAAUCUUCAUUGAUUUGGGGAAGGUGUGUGAUAGAGUGCCUAGAGAGAUUUUGUGAAAAGCCCUAGAAAAGAAAGGGGUUAUAAUUGGUUAUAUUAGAGUUAUCCAUGAUAUGUAUGAUGGAGUUUUAACUAGAGUAAAGACGUAAGAUGGGGCUACUGAAGAUUUUUCGAUAACAAUAGAAUUGCACCAAAGGUCUACCGUAAACCCUUACUUUUUUACUUUAGUUUUGGAUGUACUUACAGAACACAUCCAAGAGCUAGCACUAAGAUGUAUGCAUUUUGUAGAUGAUGCAGUUCCGCUUGGAGAGUCGAAUGAGAAAUUGAAUGGGAGGUUAGAGAUAAAUUUUAGAAGUGUAUGAGUUCUGCUUAAGUAGAACAAGACAUAUUAUAUGGGGUGUAACUUCAGCAAAAGGAGAAAUAGUUUAACCUUGGAGGUGAAAGUUGGAGAUCAUAUCAUACCCCAAGUUACACGGUUUAAAUAUCUCAGGUCCAUAGUACAAAAUGACGGAGAAAUAGAAGUAGAUACAAAUCAUCGUAUUCAAGUUGGAUGGUUGAAAUGAAGAAGAGCUUCAGGUGUUUCAUAUGAUAAGAAAGUACCACUCAAGUUAAAAGGAAAAUUAUAUUGGACAACAACCAGGCUAACGAUGUUGUACGGUACAGAGUGUCAGGUGGUUAAGAACCAACACGAAAAUCAAGCAAGUGUAACAGAGAUGAGGGUGUUGUGUUGGACAAGUGGUAAGACUAAAAGGGAUAAGAUUAGGAAUGACACCAUUUGAGAGAGAGAGAGAGAGAGAGAGUGAGUUGGGGUAGCACCUAUAAACGAAAAGAUGAUAGAAAAUAGACUUCGGUGGUCUGGCCAUGUAGAGAGAAGACAUGUAAAUGAUGUAGCUCGAAGAGUAGAUAAGAUGGAGGAAAGUCAGAUCAGAAGAUGUUAGAGGAAGACUUAGGAAAACUAUAAGAGAAACUAUUAUGAAAGAUUUAGAGGUUAAUGAGUAGAAUCCAAAUAUCGUUGAUGAUAGAACAUUAUGACAUAAUUUGAUCCAUAUAGCCGAUCUCAAUUAAUGAGAUAAGACUUGGUUGUUGUUCACGUUUAUUGGACCAAUAAUAAUAAAUGUAUUUAUACAAGUGGUAGAGAGUUUAAUUUUAGAAAUUUAGGUCUUAAUAUAAACAGAUUUCAUAAUACAUGUUCAACAAUCGUAAAUCAAUAGCGGAAGCAAACAAAACAUUGAACAUGAUUAUGAUCGGAUCUACGACAUGUUUGAUUUAUCAAGAUAUUAAGAAUUAGGGUAUUAAGAAUACCUGAUAAAACUUUUGUAGCAGCCCUCUCAUCAACAACGAUAACCAAAGAGAGGAGAUGAUCUGAAACACACAAUAGAGUUAGCGGCGGCUGAUUUGGUUCUUCCUCAACCGGUACCUUUAUGCCUCAAGUUCUCUUCAGAUGAGAUGAGGAGAAGAGAGAAUAUUGCCGUGUACGGUAUAUUGGGGACCAUAACCUCUUUUAUAUUAGAUGACCAUUAGGGUUUCCCAUUAUUCCGUUAAUGGGUCAUCCGUACAUCCACUCAUUGAGUCCAUAUCAACUAAUUAAAUAUUUAAUUAAUUAUCCAAUUAGAAAUCUAAUAGCCUUAUUACUUAAUUUGAUCAAUAAUCAACUAAUGCCCACAAUUGAUAAAUAGCUAAUAUAAUUAUUGUUACGAUAUUUGCCCACAUAAUGAUAUUGAAAUAUAAUAAAUAAUAAAAUAUUCCAACAUUUAAUUCAUAGAUUUAGACUUUUGGACGAUAAACAUCUCACACUUAAGAAUACCAACUAGCCCACUAAUACAUGAAUUUCAUUUUUUUUUUUUUACCUAAAAAUUACAUUUUUUAUUUAAAAAUUUAGUCACUAAUUCAAUAUUAUAUAUUUCUGUAAAAAAAAAAAAUCAUUUUAUCGUUUAUCGUUUAGUAAUAAGAAAAUUAGCUAGGAACUUUUACUUAUUUUUAUGAAAGUAUUGCAUGUGAUCAUGCUAGGAAAUAGAGCUAUAGCACAAAGGAGUGUAAUAAAACUUGAGUAUUAGGCUGUGCCCUAUACUUACUUUGACAAGCCACAUAUUUAUUUAUAUAGAGAUUCAUGUGCAGUGAUCAAUACCUCGUUGUCACGGGCCAUUAGUAUAAAUAUCAAAAUGUUUUUAUCAAUUGGAUUCAAUGAAUUCUAUGGCUAUCACUUUCAUCUAUAAAAAUUUCUUGUCCUUUAUAAUUAAUUCAUACUUUCAUUAGACUAGUCGUGUGGCAGAUAUGAAUCUCUGUUGUUAGUCAAUAGCCUAUAUGCUUUCAGCCCUUCUUAGUAAAGACGGACAGAUAGUUUGUCUGGAUAUAUUUCCACAUAUAUAGUAAAUAGAAAUUCAAUCCAUAUACAAUGGUCUAUUGAAUGCCAUUUUCAAUAUAUUGAAAUCAUUAUAGUGGGGUAUUGAAAAUGAGAGAAGAUGAAAGAGGUGAUGAAAAGGUUAAACAUGUUGAAAUUUUGACCGGAGAGGUCACAUGGCACGCUCGUAUUGGACCAACCAAGGCGUGUGGCAUGCACGCGCCGACAAGGCGCGUGGGAGCAGGCUUCCGCGGAGAGAAAGAGAAAUGGAUUAAAUUAGUGACAUGUGGCGCGUUUCGAUUGGCUGCUUAGAUUUUUAUCAUCUUAAUAAUUUGAACUCAAUUAUUUCAUUGCAAAUAAUUUUUUUUUCUCUAUAAAUAGAGACUUGGAUCAUUUGAUUUCGACACAGAAAAAAAAAACUAAAUUUUUCACUCUCUUAAUCUUAUUAUUAGCUUUUCUUUUGAAGUUUUAGUCUUAAUGUUAAGUGUUUUUUUAUUUUAAUUUAAUUAUAAUCGAUAAUUGUAAUUUUAUGUAAUUAUAAAAACAAAAAUAUAAAAUUAAAUAAGAUUAAGAAAUAAAAGGUGGUGGGGUAGAGUGUUGAAUGAAAAAACCAUUGGAGAGGGUAAAAGUUGAAUGAGUGUUGAAUUAAGAGAAAAAAAAUUAUGUGCAGUGUUGGGAAUUGAAAAAGUGGGUGUUGAAUGUUGUUGAAUGGUUUUAACCCUUACAACGAAAGCUCUUUUAUCCACAUACACUUGCACUUGUACGGUCAUUGCGCUGCUCAACAAAAGCUUCCGCCUUAACACCUUUCUAGAAGACUUUGGAUACAAGAAGCCAAUUCAAACCCUUGGCGACCCAUCGACUUUGACACCAUUGUUGAGUCACAUUAUCUUUUUAAGAAAAAUAUACUAAAAAAUAUCAAAACUAGAAUAUUUAAAAAUAAUGAUAUAAUAUAAUAUCAAUUAUUUUCUUUUUAUAUACCAUAUUAUCUUAAUAUGUGUUAAAUGGUCAUAUGCGACAUUUUUUUAAAAGAAAAUGUGACAAUUAUGUGGUGGAGAUAUAUUAUAUGAGUUGUGGUUACAAGAUCAAAACAAGACAACCAUUUUAUUUCAGAUAUACAUAAAGAGAGCAACCUUAAUUAUAUAAUUAAGUGUCACCCUUUCUUAAAACAAAAUUAAAUGUCACUCUUAAGAGGAAAAGACACAUUAAACAAAUUAGUACCAUCAAUUUUCCCCUGAAAUCCAAAUGGAUACUUUUUCUGUUUAUUAGGAUAAAACACUCCAAAAUGUUUCUCUAACUCAGGAUUCUUCUGAUUCUCAUCAAACAAUCCAAAUAUAUAAGUCUCAAUAGGUCCAGACCUCAUUGGUGUCCCACCUUUAACAUGCCUAAUCAAAUUAUCAAGAUAAACUCUUGCAUUAUCAUAAGUAGUUGCAAAUCCACCAUCUGAAGGCCAACCACUCUCAGACACAACAACCUUAACAAAACCAAUUCCAGUAUUAUCAAUUGCAGCAUGUAAUGAAUCCAACAAAGCAUCAAAUAGAUUUUGGUAUCCCCUUGAACCAUCCCAAACCACAACAUUAGGAGAAGUGAAUAAAGCAUAUUGAAGUGAGAUGUCUUUUGGGUUAUCUUUAUAGCUAAAAUAAGAGUAAAUAUUUGCAAAUAAAGGUGCAUUUGCAUAUACUAAGUAGCCUAUAAUUGGAUCCAAAUAUGACCUCACAUCGCUUCUAAAUGAACCUUUAGACGGCGGGUACGAAGUUCCUAUCAUGGUCAUGUCAAUAGCCGUUGAAACCUUGAUUUGAUCGUGCAGAUUUUUCGCUCUUAUUGCUUGAUAUAUGUUUUGGAUUGCCGGAAGAACAAAUUUUGCGAAUUGAGAAGAGCCACCAACUGGGUUAACUUCAUUACCAACCGCGAUGUAUUUGAUUUUGACACUAGGGUAGAAGUUUAGUACAUUUUUUUGUACCCAUUGAAUUGCAAUGUCAUUGUUGGUAGCAAUGUUUUGAAGAUCAGAAUUUGGCACACCUAACAUAAGCUCAAUGCCAGAAUUUCUAAGUGCUUCAAGAGCAGCUUGGUUUGGAUCAUAUAGCCUCAUUCUUUUGAUGUUGUUUGAUUUGCAAAGAUCUAUUGCUUCACGUUGUGAUGGUAGAUUAUUUCCCAUCAUGCCAUAACAAACACCUAUUUGAGCACCUGCUUGUGAAAAAUUAUGUGCAUCUCCUUAGCCUAAAUAGUGUAAAAUUUAAGUAUUCAUAAUAUAUUCUACUAUAAGAAGUAAAAUAUCAACAAAAUUUUGAAAGAAAUAAAAUUCUUCAUAAAUUUGCCACUAAACUUAUCAUCAUUAUAUCAUGUGUGUUGGAAAACAAGAAAGUAAUGCUAGCUAGACUUUAGUUAAAAAAAGAUUAGAACAUGAAUUUAAUUUUUUUUUAUCUCUAUUUCAGUCACUAAUUUAUCUAUCUCUAUAGAAAUAAAAAAUAAAACUUGCUAUUUUUGAUAGUAACGAACUUCUACUUACUUGUCAAGCGAAGAUGUACUGUAAACAGAGCAAAUAGUAGCAGUAGAGAAGCCAUUACAUUCCUGUUGCCUGUGAUCAUGCUUGGAAAGAAAGCUAUAGCACAAAGUAGUGUAAUAAAAACUUGAGUAUUAGGCUGAGUCCUAUACUUAUUUUUGCAAGUCACAUAUUUAUAUAGGAGAAGAGAUUCAUUGUGCAGUGAUCAAUAAUAUCUCAUGGGCAUGGGCCAUUAGUAAUUAGCAUACUAAUAUAAAGGUCAAAAUAUGAGACUUUAUGUUUAUCAAUAUGAUUCAAUGAAUUCUAUGGCUAUCACUUUCCUCUUUAGAAAUUUCUUGUCCUUUUUAAUUAAUUCAUGAUUUCAUUAGACUAGUCGUUAUGGGUAGAUAUGAAUCUCUAUUGUUAGUCAAUAGCUUAUGCUUUCUGCUCUUGUAUUAAAGUAAGGAGGGAUAUAUCGUUUGUUUGGAUAUAUUAAUUUUCAAAAACUAAAUAGAAAUUCAAUCAAAAAUAGGAAGUCUUCAGGAAAUCUUGAAAGGAUUUCAUAAGACUAAAACUUUACGUACAAUAAGAAGAAAUUACAUCUAAUCGACAUUUUGUGGGACUUAAAUGGACUACAAACUCUUCCUAAGAGUUUUAACGUUGCUGCGUGUCCAAGACUGUAUUCAAACUCAAAACUUGGGUUAAGUUAGAAGAGACUUAUGUCAUCUCAUCUAAGUGUUAUUUGGUCAGCACACUUAACAUGUUAUUUUAGGUUAGCUAUGUUGAAGUUUUUAGUAAAUCAUUUAAGUUGGCCCGUCUGGUUUAAUCCCCACAUAUUUGCUAGUCAAAAACACCCGUCAAUGUGAAAUCGGCCACAAAUAUCUUAUUUCAUGUAAACCAGAAAAUCCUUUGUGAGGGACCAAUCUGUCACAAAUUUGUGAGUGUUAGGUCACAAUGGGAGGCCGAGAGAUUAUUCACAUUAGACUAAGAGCAACUACACACUUUAGCCAAAUUUGUGAGUGUUAGGUCACAGUGGGAGGCCAAGAGAUUACUCACAUUAGACUAAGUGCAACGACACAAGUGAAUUGGACACCCCCCACUUUAGCCAAAACUAAGACAAUGAGUUUAUUGGUUAUUUUCCUUAUAAAGUGUUCAACCUCCACUUUUCUAAGCAAUGUGAGACUUCUAACUCAUACUUGCUACACAACAAUCUUCCUCUCAAUUGCGAGUCCACCAAUUCAUGAUGCUCACCCUUAAAUGGAAGCUCUUUCAUACAUGUACACUUCCACUUGAAUUGCCAUUGCGCUGCUCAAUGAAAGCCUCCACUUGAACACCUUUCUAGAAGACUUUUGAUAUAAGGAGCCAAUUCAAAUCCUUGAUGAACCAUCCUUGACGAAGAUGUUAAAAUAUUACUACUCUUUUAGACAUAAAAUAGAGAGAAAAAAAUCAGAGAGAUAAUAUAUAGAGAAAUUUUUUAGAGAAUGCAGUGAGAAAAAAAAUUAGAGAGUAGAAGUGAGAAAUGGGAAAAUAUGGUAGCUGUGAUGUGUGUUUAAGUUGUCACCAUCAAUUUUUGUUAAAAUUCAUGAUGGUUGAUUGUUGUACAAUUAUUUUUAUGAGAUGAGUUGUGAAUGACUAGUGUGUGGGAAAUCUGGAACGAAAGAAAUGCUAAAAAAAUUUUAUCAAAAUGAGUCCUCGUUACGACAACUGCUUGACAAAAUUAAGCUUCAAACUUUCUCAUGACUGAAAGCAAACCACAACAUUGUUUUUAACUAUCACUUGUGGUGUCUUAGUCCUCUUAAUUGUCUGGAAAUCUAUUUGUAGUGAGCUUCAGACCGUUGAUAUAAUUGUUUUGACUUUUCUAUUUUCAAACAUUCCUUAUGCUUAAAUUGUCAGGUUUUGUGAGUAAUGAAAUUCCAUUUUAGCAUACAUUAAUUAUUCAUUUAAAAAAUAUUAAUUUUUUGUUAUAAUAACGACCUUCAAAGUAGCAGCCAUUAAAGGUUAUAUAUGGAUAGUUGCCAACCUAGUCAUGAGUCAUGAUCAAAGGAAGUUUGAAGUUGAACCUUCAUGAUUUUCAAACUCCACGCUGAAUUAAAAGUUGAAGUUAACAUUUUAUAAAAAAAAAUAAAAAAAGUUGAAGUUAACGUUAAUUAGUCGACAUAUCUUUACUUGUCGUGCUCUAACAAGAGACGUUACUAUAAUCACCAAAGUCUCCCCCUAUGGACUCAUUGAUCCUUAUCCUAGGGAACGUUGGUCAACGUAAUGUAUCCCUCAGAUGAAAGAAUUAAUCUGCUAUAAGUACUCCUUUUAAAAAAAAAAAAAAAAAACCUACUAUAAGUACUCUAGACCAGAUGAGUUAAAUAAGUUUUUUUUAGCAAGAGUUAAAUAAAUUUUUAUUCUAAUAAGAUACACAUGAGUUUAUUUAAAAGCAGAGAUCAAAAAUCAUGAAAGAAAAUAUUUGAGGAUCAAAAUUCACUGCAAAUUUUUUAAGGACAAAAAACAAAAUUCGCUGUAAAUGUUAUCAGAACUCCUAAAGAGCAACUGAAAAAUGUUGAUAAAAGAAAAGUUAAAAUGAAAUACAUUGGAUGUGGAAAGUCUAUUUGAAACUAUAAAUUUAUUAUUUAAAUGAAAUGUGUGCAUCAAUAAACUUAUAUGGAAAAUGUAUUCAAAUAGUUUGAUAUGCACAAAACUAUUUUUUUUGUGUGUACUAGAAAAGUUGUAAUAUCACUUUAUGUGAACAAAGAUAAUGUCAUUCCUCAACAAAAUAAUGAACAACUUAAAUUUGUUAUGAAGUAUCAUAUCUUAUUUCAAAUGAGAAUACUAAUGUGUUUAAUUUUUUUUUUUUAAGGAAUGUUUAAUUAUAUAUGUCUGGGUGUUUUAUUUUUGUAAAUAUUAAUACACAAAGAUAUUGGAGUAAAAUCAUGAUCAUUGAAAAAAAUAAAAGCAUAGAGAAUUAAAUAUAGAAAUCAGGAGCGAUGAAGUGUUUAAUGGUAUUGAUGUUGACACUGCAUGAAAUUGUAGAGAUUUUCACUGCAGGAGAUUCAUUCCCGCAAGAGAACUGCUAUAUAUAGCGAGAUAUUUUGUCGCGAAACUCUCACGAAUUCAAAGCAACCAAUCAUAAAGUUUCCUGGCAUGAAAACACACGGAGGCAUUGCUAAUUACCCUCAACAUAUUGCCACAUUCUUAUUUAUGUGUCAUCGUGAUGUCUUCGUUAUAAUAUUUGUCGUUGUGUAUAUCAUUUUCCAUACCGCAAAUUUUAUCUUAGAGAUGCAUGGUGUCAUUCAAUGAUGUGAAAAUUUUAGCACCAAAUUAAGGAAGUUCAAAACGAGCUUUUAAUUGAGGUAUGUAAUUCUACACAUAAAUUUUUUUAUCAAAUGAUUAAAGUAUAUUAUCUUAAUAAUUUGUUUGCUUAAACUCAUUUAAUCGUUUUGGGAUUAAAAAUAUUUCGUUCCUAAUCCUAUCACUAUUUUUUUUUCUUUUCAAGUCAUUCUCAUUUUCAAAGAUGUCAUCCAAGUCCACAAGGAUAUACUUUUUUUUUUUUUUGUGUUCAUUUGUUUAAUUUUUUUUCACAUGAUCAAUUCAAGUCACUUGCAAGUUGCAUCCUUCAGCCGCCGGUGGCAUCAUUAAGGAAGUACUUGCAUUUUUAAUGGCUAAAUCAAAAACUAGUUGCUUAGUAAUAUCAUUUUUUUUGUGGGGACAUUUUUGUUUUUUAAGCAAGUUGUUGUGUGGGAUAAUGUUGAGUGUCCGGAAGGACCAAAAGUAACAAUGGAUUAUGAUCAUCCAUCAAGUAAUUUUUAGCAUAACUUUUGAUUUUUAUUGAAAAUUUUAAGACAUUAAAUAAAUGAGUCAUAUUUCUUUUUUAUUUUUGAAUAAGAGUCAUAUUUCGAUAUGAAAAUGAGUCAUAUUUUUUAUACACCAUUUAUUUGAAUUGUUUUUAAUUGAUAUGAAACUAACCGCUCGUACUUAAAUUCUAACAUGUAUGUGAUAAGAAAUAUAGUUUAUUAUUAUUAUUAUUAUUAUUAUUAUAUAUAUAUAUAUAUAUAUAUAUAUAUAUAUAUAUAUAUAUUAAAUUAUAUAACCAUCCAUUAUAUACUAUCCAAGUUGAACAUGGUUCUGCAAAGAUCUUACUACUUUUUGAAAGAUAUAAAAACCUAAUCCUUGACGGAAUUAUUUGGCGACCCCUAGCUAAUUACUAUCAAGUAGUUGAUAUGAUAAGCUUAGAUCAAUUGAGUUGAAAAUGUAUCACGCUCACAUUUUGUUUAUAAAAAAGUGUCUACCUUUCUAAGUGCAUGCAUUCAAAUUCAAUGAGUUGAUUAUUCUACCUAUAACUCCUAGAAAUAUAAGAACUAUAUGUUUGUUGAAGAGUGUAGAAAACGUCAAGAGAAACACAAAUGUUUUAAGACUAUAAGAAAGAGAGAUGUCAUGUCUCUGCAAAAAAAAACUUAAAAUAUUAGAAUUUUAUUAAUGAGUGGUCUGGAACUCUCGUUAACAAAUCUAAAAAUAAAUAUUUACUAUUUAUAGUCCUUAAAGAGUACAUCAGAUGCACUAGUUAACAUUUUUCUUUUUAAAAUAAGCAUCUUUUGCAUACAAAUGAAUGAUUAUUCUAAGUCAAAAAUAAAUACAUAAAACUUAUUUUUAGAAUCAAAUAUAAAUUAUUUCACCUCAAACUCAAUUUUUAGUUGAGUCAGAAAGCUCCAUGUUUUAAAGUACUGCUGUUAUAAGGCUAGACUAUAUCAUUAUCUUAAGGGAUCGAUUAACUCAAGUGGUUGUCCUUGUAAUGAAACGACAAAACUCAUUAAGGUCAAUAUGCCUUCGAUUUAACUUAUACGAUAACAAAUCAAUCUUGUUAUAGGAGAAGGUUUCAAACAUUAUUGUUGAUAAUAUAUACACCAUAAAUUAUUUUCAAAUAAUUAUAUGCAUAUAGAUAGAUACAUGAGUUAUCCAUAUUCUUUUAAACAUAAAUUAUAUCUUCGUUUAGUUUUUCCUCAUAUUUUUUUAGAGGAAUAUUGUUAUUUGAACCACUAUUUUUAGGAUAAUUUAUGAGACAACCAAAAAAUACAAAGAAAUAUAUAUUGACACAAAUAAGAAUUAGUUCCAUGGGUUAAUUUAUCAACUUUGAAGUGAUUACUUUUUUUAUUGUUAUGUAUAUUGAUAUAUUAUCAAAUAGGGAUUUCAUCUUGAAAUUAACAGUCUUAAAAGAUAAAGUGAAGGUUUUCCCUAAUCUAAGUUUGAAGACAAAAAUGAUUACAUAGACAAAGACUUCCAUGAUAAACCGACAAAAAAAAAAAGAUAAACUAUGCAUAUUUAUUAGGUGGAAGCCGCAGGCUGCUGGAUAUAUAUUUUACUUAUAUUAAUUCAUUUAUAAAAUAAUUCAAAUUAAUUGUGAGAUAUGGUCUGAAAAAUUAUAUAUAUACACAUCAAUGGUAGGAGAUGUCAAUUCAGUGCCUAGUAGGGCAAAUCCUUCUUUCAUAUUCAUUUUUAGUGUAUACUUUAUUUUGCAUCAUACCUUCUUUCUUUGCUCCAACCAUGAGGUUCUCUUUGGCUUCUCCUCUGUUUCUAUUGGGAUUGUUCACAAUAAACCUUAUUCACACAGCAGGUUUGGUCUCUGUCUUAAUAUAGAUGGAAAAUUUCUCCCAUUUUCAUUAGUUUAUAAGAAAAUAAUUUACUUAUUAGUUAGUUUUAAAUAGUUUUCACAUAUAUUCAAUGUAUAAAUUUUUUGUAUAUUUAUAUUUUAAGAAUUAAUAUUAUGACAUAGUUAAAAAGAUAAUGAGAUCUAGUUGAAUGUCAUUAUGAUAAUUUUUUAUAUUUUCAAAGCAUACAAAUUAAACUUAAUUAGUUUAAUCAGUAUUUUUUUAAAUAUUAUAUUAUAUUUUUGAAAAAUAAAUUUAGCAUUAUAUCGAGUUCAUCUAGAUUAAUGAUAAGUAAUUUUGUUUUUGACGGUGCGAGAAUCUCUUUGAUGAAUUAUUUAUAAGUAAUCUGUAAGUACUUUUUGACCUUAAGAUAUGUUUGGUUCUGGUGAACCGCGGAAGCCGGGUCACUUAAACUUUGUUUAUAGAAAAUAUAUAUUUUAUCUUGUAAAAUUUAAUUUAAUAAUUUAUUUAUUCAUUUAUAAAAACGAAACUCAAAUAAUAUAACAUAUCCUGACUCUGCAUAAAUUAUACAAUGUCCCUACCAACUACGGGGACAUUAAUAAUCAUUCAGUUUGCUAGUAGAUAUUAUGUAUAAAUAUGCGUAACGAUUUCACAAAUAACAAAUAUUUAUUAAAUAACAAAUUUUUAUCAUAAUUUUCAAUACAUGAAUUUUUUUGAAAGGAUGAUUUUUAUUUUUUGUAUAGUAAACAUUCACAUGUUUGCGUUUCCCCUCAAAUCCUCAAGUAUAAUACAUGGCUGACUGAGUCAAUUAUAGAAAGAAAGUUUUUGAAAUAUUUAUGCAUGCAUCUAAUUCAACGAUACCUUGUCACAUUAUUAUUUUUUUUAAAGAAAGGACCUUGUCACAUUAUUUAAAAUACGAUAAAUGAUAUAUUUAAAAUAUCAUUAGGUUGUACACUACCUAGAUUUAAACCUGGAAUUUUACAAUUGAGUUUAUAAGUCCCAGUGGUAUUGUUUAUCAUUUCUCUUAAUUACAGACAAAAAAAAAAAAAAAAAAGGCAAGUCAAUUACUACCAAUACAUAUAUAAAUUAAAGUCUAUAGUAAUUAGUACCUGGCCCUAAAUUAUACUCCUUAAUACCGUUUUUUUUUAUUUUUUAUAAACUUUAUACCAUUUUGAUGAUAAAAGAAAAAAAACUAUUGAUAUGAUCAUAUGCUUUUUUUUUAAGAAAUUACGAUCAUAUACUUAAUUAACUGUUUUUUAUCGUAUCAGAUGCUCAAAUAGGAAUAUGUUAUGGUAUGAUGGGAAACAAUCUACCACCGGCAAACGAGGUUAUAAAUCUCUACAAAGCAAACAACAUUAAGAGAAUGAGACUCUACGAUCCUAAUCAAGCUGCUCUAAAUGCAUUAAGAAAUUCAGGCAUUGAACUCAUUCUUGGUGUGCCAAAUUCCGACCUUCAAACCCUAGCCACCAACUCCGAUAAUGCACGUCAAUGGGUACAAAGAAAUGUAUUGAACUUCUGGCCUAGUGUCAAAAUCAAGUAUAUUGCAGUUGGUAAUGAAGUGAGUCCAGUUGGAGGCUCUUCUUGGCUAGCCCAAUAUGUUCUACCUGCCACCCAAAAUAUAUAUCAAGCGAUAAGAGCUCAAGGUCUUCAUGAUCAAAUCAAGGUUUCAACCGCUAUUGACAUGACCCUUAUUGGAAAUUCAUUCCCUCCAUCUAAAGGUUCUUUUAGAAAUGAUGUUAGGUCAUACCUAGAUCCUUUCAUUGGAUACUUGGUAUAUGCAGGUGCACCUUUACUUGUCAAUGUUUACCCUUAUUUUAGCCAUGUUGGUAACCCGCGCGAUAUAUCUCUUCCUUAUGCUCUUUUCACUUCACCGGGUGUUAUGGUACAAGAUGGUCCAAAUGGGUACCAAAACUUGUUUGAUGCUAUGUUGGAUUCGGUGCAUGCAGCCCUAGAUAACACCGGGAUUGGUUGGGUGAACGUUGUUGUAUCUGAGAGUGGUUGGCCCUCUGAUGGAGGGGCGGCUACUUCAUAUGACAACGCACGUAUUUAUCUUGAUAAUUUGAUUCGUCAUGUUGGUAAAGGUACUCCACGAAGGCCUUGGGCUACAGAAACUUAUAUUUUUGCUAUGUUUGAUGAGAACCAAAAGAGUCCAGAAUUGGAGAAACAUUUUGGAGUGUUUUAUCCUAAUAAACAAAAGAAAUACCCAUUUGGAUUUGGUGGAGAAAGAAAUGGGGAAAUUGUCAAUGGUGACUUCAAUGCAACUAUUUCUCUUAAGAGUGACAUGUAAGAAAAAAUCAAGGUUUUCAAGAUUUGAGUGAUUUUAUAUAUGUAUAAAAUAAGAGAAUUUCUCCUGUCUGUAUUUUAUUUAUCUUUCUUUUUUGGUUGUAGAAAAUGUUGGAAGGUUGAGGUUCAUAUUAUAUACUACUCUAUCUAUAUUAUAUGAGUUGCUACGAUUCUCUUGAGUUCCACUGGCUCUUAUUUUUUACUGAUUAAUUUCGAUUUCGUGAUGCAUUUUUUCUGUUUUCCUUAUAUAGCAUUGCUGAUAAUUUUAGAGUGGUGUUGACUUUGUUCAAAAAUUAAGGAGGAUAUAGGUAUAUAUGGAACCAAUAAUAUAAACAAAAUUUGUGUUCAAUAUUGAUUUCCACACACACACGGUUGGAUUUUAGGUAUAUAUUGAUUUCCCCUUCACUUGACUUGAUAUAAAGGGGGAUGAGGAUGGAUUGUCGAAAUUUGGACGUGAUGAAAUUUGUUUGUUUAUCCUCUCAAAUGUUUUCAAUGUCCAUAUUAAAUAAAAGUAUUCAGAGCAAAAGUCUUGUUUGGUUUGGUUAAAAGAUAGUGAUGUAAAUAAAAACCUUUUUCAUGGAAUGACAUCAAAAAGAAAGAGAAGUAAUGUUAUUUAUAGUAUCUUAGUGAAUGGUACUCAAAUGGAAGUGGUUUAGGGAGUUCGAUAAACAGUGUAUAACCACCACUUUAAAGAUCGCUUUCUGCUAGUAAGUUCUGACUAACCUGUAAUUAAGAAUUUAAAUUUUAAAUUUAUCAAUUUUAAAUAUGCUUAUGAGUUAGAGAAAUCAUUUAGCGAGAAAGAUGUAAAGUAAUUAAGCAGUUUUGAAUUGUGAUCGUUUUAAGAGUCCCAGAACACAUGGGGUUAACUUUUGUUUUAUAAGGAUUUAUGGAUUGACAUCAAAGGUAAUUUUAUGAAAUUUUUGCUGGAAUUUUACUUGUAUGGUAGGCUGGUGAAAGGAUCUAAUUGUUUAUUUAUUUAUUUAAUACCUAAGGUCUCUAAAUCUGAUAGGCUUGCGGACUUUACACCUAUCUCUUUAGUUGGGUGUAUGUAUAAAGUUUUGGCAAAAGUGAUACUGAGGAGGUUCAAAUUAGUAAUUGAUAAAGUGAUUUUAAAGAAUAAUCAUCGUUUGUGAAAUGAAGAUAGAUAUUGGAUGGUAUUUUUGUUGCUAAUGAAGUGAUAUAUGAUGCUAAAAAAUGGAAUAAAGAGUUGAUUAUGUUUAAAGUGGAUUUUGACAAGGCGUAUUACUCACUGAAUUGUAAUUAUUUGGAUGCGGUGAUGGAAAAAAUGGGUUUUUCGAUAAAAUGAAGGAUGUGGAUUAUGGAGUGUGUUAGUACUGCAACCUCCGCUAUGUUGGUUAAUGAUAGUCCACAUGGUGAGUUUUGAUUUGGGAGAGACUUAAGGCAGGGAGAUCGUUUGUCUUUGUUCUUGUUCUUGAUGGCAAUUGAAGGAUUAAAUGUUUGUUGAAUGCUUAAGUUGAUGUUGGGUUGUUUAAAGGUUAUAUAGUUGGUGAUGGGCAAGACCCUCUCAUGUAGUAUUUUUCUAUCAAUCAAAAGUAAGUAUUGUAUAUCGUCUCCUCAGGGACUAGUGCGAUAUCAUAAACCGUUCAACAUCGAUUAUCAUUUUAAGUUAAAGAUUAAUUUGGUUGUUUGUUUAAAACUACAAGAACUAAAUUGCGAAGAUAAAAGUUGAGAGUAAUAAGGCGUAAAACUUGUUAGGAUUAGAGUUCAUUGACCAAGAAUCGCAUAUAACAUAAUGAUCACAUAUACAGAUUCUAGCUUUUAAUCAAUAUUAUCACGUAUCCCUCGACAACAUCAUUCAUGUCUAAAUGAUAUUGUGAAAUCAAUUGUAUCGUUUAAUCGUUGAUUUCCCAAACUAUUAAACGAUCCAACAUUCGAUCGUAUCGUUUAAUCGACGAUUUCUCACUCUAUUAAACGAUCUGAAACCAUGAAGCUUAGAUACUCAAGGUGAUUAUCAAAACGUAAAUCCCAUGUCUAGAAUUCCUGUUUUGAUAAAUGAUUAUUCUAGACCUAGAUUCAAAAGUAUUUUUCAAUAGCAAUUAAAUCAAACAUAAGCAUAAAUUGCAAGAAUAAUCUCAAUAUCAAAUCAAAUGCUACAAUCAUAUAUUAUAGAUCAAAAGAUUACAUGUUUUGCUUGAUCAAGUACCUCUAAUCCCAACAAUGGAGAUUUAGCUACUCAUUGUCAUGGUAACUUUGCAAGAUUGAAGUAAAAGAUGAAGAUUCAUAUACAAACUUGUGAUUUCUCAACAAAUAUGGAAGAAUCCACCUUCUAUCACACUCACUCUAUGUUUCUCUCCUAAAUUCGCCUUAUUCUCUCUCUAUGGAAGUGAUAAGAUCUUGUCUGAAAUGAACUUUUAUACUUCUGCAUAAUUUUGCAAUCUCGCCAAGCAGGAUUUGGUCGCUCGGGCGACAUUAGCUUUCUUUGCUAGUGGGUUUCUGCCACGUCAUCAUCCACUUCCCCCAAACCGCCUUAGCUCACUGGGCAGGACAAUUCUCGCCAGGGCGAACUCUGGUCUUCAAAAACAUGGUCCCUAUAACUCUUCUUCCCGCCAUGGCGACAUGUGUCGCUCUGGCGAACUCUCAUCCUUGAAAACAUGGGUUAUGGAACUUCAUAUCCGCCACGACGACAGGUGUUGCUCGGGCGACAAACCCUUUUGCUCCUCUUUUUGUUUUUCUUUCAUUGGUUCAUGUCUUGAUCACUCCUUUCCUGCACAAUUGGGUUAAGUACGACAUAAAAAACAUAAUUAUUCAUUUUGUCACUUUUUCAUAUAUUUUCUUUGGAUAACUUGUACAACAAGUAACCAAAAGUGCUUAAUAUAAAUCAUGAAACUAACACUUUUUAGCAUUCAUCACCCUCAUAUUAUUAUAUCUUAUCUUCAGAUUGCAACGACACCUUGAUAGUAAGAGAAAAAUGUAGGACGAAUAUCAGAGCCAUGAAGACGAAUCUUAUCCUUUUUGAAUGGAUCUCGAGGUUAAAGAUUAAUUUUCAUAAGAGUUUUUUAAUGGUGAGGUGUGAUCACUCUCAUCCUUUUAGUUUUAUUCCUUACGUAUAUCUUGUCUAUGUUCACCCUAAUUUUUUCUUAGAGUCUAUAUAUAAGACCUUGUUGAUAAAAACACAAGAAAUAAAAAAAAAAGUUUUAGCUCGUAUUUCAUGUUCUACACUAGGCCUAGAUCAAUCUAUGAAGGAUCCAUGAUCCAUAUGCGUAAGUUAUACCAACGAUACACCAAAUUAAAUCACCGUGAUCUAAUCAUGACACUUUGAUAACAAUCAAACGAUAAUCCACAAAUUAUGUCGGAAUUCGCGUAACAAAAUAACUGUCAUAGAAACCCAUCGUUCCUUACACAUCAGACGUAAAAGGUGUCUAACCCCUUACGAAAAGUACAUUUUCAAUUUUGUUUAAACCUCUAGACUCUCCUAAAACUCUUAACAUUUGAGUCCGUAUCCCACCCUUUUACAAAAUAUUAAUUUCAUCUGCAUUCAAUCAACUCCAACAAUCAUCUUCAAGUGUUCCAUAUUUGAUAAGGAUGAGAGAUGAGCUGAAAAAAAAAAUCCGAUCAAUGUAAAGUUAAAAAACCUAGAAUCCAAUCCAAUCAAAUAAAAAAAAACUAUAUAUAUAGUAACAAAACAAAAGAUUAUCCGUUAAAAUCUUUAACAAACCAAAGGCAGUAUACUAGAGCUACUAGUAGUUUGUUCCCAGAAGUAAGCUACACGGAUCUAAUUAGCGCGUGUAAAACCACCUUAAUAAAAUUUAUUUUUAUUCAUUUAUUUAUAGAUUAGAAAUUAUAAAUAAAUAUUAUUCUCUUUGAUACUUAAGCAUAUUUCGCCGAAACCGUAUCACAAACCUUAAAAAACGCAGCGUUUUGUUCUAUCCCUUUCUUUCUCUCCCUCGCUCUACACUCAAAAAAAGAAAUUAAAAAAAAAAGACGUAAAUCACUGCACAAAACUCUUCUUUGAAUCCACAAUCGCAUUACGGCGCGUGUCUCUCACUCGACUCGUUCUUCACAAUUUCGAAUUGCACACUCUCUCUUUAUCUUCCAAUCCAAAAACUCAACCGCAUCGCUGUUUACACUUCUGCAAACUCAAUCCUAUUCAUGGCACAUGUAUGAAUAACAAUCUUAUUCAUUCAUAUCAUUUUUUUUUCAAUUUUUUGUUUGUUUUUAUUUGAAUUUUCAUGAAUUGGUAUUGUUUCUUAUUUUGCCGCAUGAAUUGAUUCUUUUUUAUUGGUUUAUUUGAUUGUGAAAUUUUGGUACAUUGAAAUUAGGGUUAUGAUUUUUGAUGUUGCAGAUGAAUGUGUAAUGGAUUCUAUUGAAGGUCAGGGUUUGAGUUUUGCAGAGCAGAAUUUUGGAGUAUUGUUGGAGUCUGCUUCACUUGUUGAAUUUGAAUCUGUCAUUCAUUCAUGAGGUUUUUGUUUUUUAAUUAUUACUCUGUUAUUUGGAUUUUUAAUUUGAUGUGUGAUGAAUGAAAUUUGAAUUUAUCUAUGGUAGAAUUGUUCCACAUGAUUUGAAAUGCAGCACAUCAUUGGUUGCAUGUGUAAAACUUUUUCACAAUGAUUGUGUAUAUAAAUUAAACUCAUUUGCAUUGUAUUAUGAGAAAUAGAUGUACCAACAGAGUAAAAUAGUUUUACGCUGACAUCCAAUGAGUAUUUUGUAUCCCGUCAAAUCACAGAGAUAUUUUGAAAUUAGUUGUAUGACAUGGCAGACCGAUGGUUUUUUAUUGGAUGACAUUGUGAAACUAUUUUACAAUGUCAGUGCAUGCACAUUGAACUCUUUUAUUAAUGCAUAUUACAUCUAAUGCUGCGGAUAUUGUUUAUGGAUUUUAUUCAUAUACGAUAUCAUUGUAGAGUUUUUACACCGUCAAUCAAUAAUAACUGUCAAAUCGUUAGAAACAUUUGACUUUUAUCAUAAUCACUUCUAAAGACACACAUGAUUGGUUGUAUGUGCUGGCAGUGUAAAUUUUCUUAGACUGACUGUGUGAAAAUUAAACUCUUAUUCCAUUAUGUUUUUGCUUUUGUGUGAGCCAUUUUUGGAAAGUGAAUGCAGGACUUAGUGGCUGAAAUUGCUCUUUGUUGCUUAAUUUGCUUAUGUUUGGUGAUCCUUUCUUUUGAUAGUUAUUUUUUUUCUUUCUUUUUCAUGUUUUAUUUUCAGAUACCUUGGCGUUUUAAUAGAAAUACUAGGUUUUCUCUUGAGAAAUAUUUUGAAUUAGAUGGGGUAAUAUUCUGCCAGAUGAUAUUUGCUUCGUUUAAUAUUAAUAUUUGAAGGAUGUAUAGCUUUGGGUUGUAAGUUACUUGAAAAACUUGGGUGUUAUUGGAAUGCUAUUUUAGACGAGGUCAUCUCCAAUGACAUUUCCUAGUAAGAUUCAUAGAGAUAACAAUCGGUUCUUGCAUGUUCUACUUUUGUAAGAAUCGUUCGUACGUAAGAGCCACUUCUUAACUAUUAAAAAAACUAAUUGAGGUAACUCAUCAAACCCGUUUUUAAGAAAUAUAAAGAUGUGUGAUAACUUGUGGGACCUAUUUAAAGUUCUUAAAAAGUUGCAUCCUUGGAGAGAAAAGUAGCGAAAGUUUUUGAAACUGAUGUGGCCUUGUAGGGCUUACCAAAAGUGUUAUCGUUGGAGAUGCUCUUAGUUUAGUGUAUUACUAGUUACCACUUCGCGGACAUGUGACAUUGGCAUGCUAGAAGAGGGAUGCGGAAUGAAAAAUGGUCAUCUAAUGAAGAAUACUAAAUUGGAAGCUUAAAAAGAAGGUCCUUAGUGGUUCAUCUCAUUGAAAGUUAAUAGUGACUAGUGAAUUUAGAUAUCUUAAUCUUAAUCAUACUUUCACCGAGUCACUUAUGUCUUGAAGAGAUGACAGAGAAUUACUAAAUUGUGUAUCCCAUGGAACCUGUGAUCGUUAUACUAGGUGGUAUAAAGUAAACAAAAUGAUAGAGAAAAGGAAAAGUUCACCUGCAAUUUAAUUGAAUGUGCAGAUUUAAGAAAGCACUUAAUUUCUUCCUCAUAUUUUCAUAGAUGAACCAUACACUUAUUCUGAAGGAAUUUUGGUGAUUUUAGGCGAUGAUUUAUAAAUAGUUGUAGCUUAGAAUUGAAAUUAAGAGAAAAGAGAGGGGGUGGGGUGUUGUUCUGUCUUUUUUGAUGCAUGCUUAUUUCAGGGGAUAUUUCUUUUUACAUAAAAUUUAGCAAAUUUUAGAUCUGGGUUCUAAAAUAUCAUUGUGCUUUGGAGAUAGAUCUUAAAGACCCGUUCCUUGACACUAAGACCUCUUGUUAACUUGUUAGAAAAGGCAUGUCAAGCACGCACAGUUCUCUGCAUUUCCUCAAAGCAAAUGGAGUGGGCUUGCCGCCUUACCCUAUUAUAGUAGGAUUUGAGAUGAAGGAAUGCUUCCUAUGAGUCGCUAGGUCUUAAGGUCGUCGGAGUCCACACCACUUACAAGGCACAAUGUACUUUUAGUUAAAGAAUAGCAUGCUAGUUUUAACCAACCUCACUAUGACCUUGCCUACCCCUAUGUUUGCUGACACAUAAAUCUAAUCAAUUAAACACUAUGCUAAUCUUCCCUAUCAUACACUCUAAUAAUAGAGGCAGUGAACUAUGCCUCUAGAAGUUGGCAUUGCACACUUAGCAGUUAGAACCUAUGUCUCCAAGUGAGAUUACACCUCUUCAAACGAGAACCCUAACUCUAAAACACAAUGUUAUUUGUCUAGGUGGAUAAAUAAAAGCUAUGUCACCAAAAUCACAAUUUCAAUUGUGAAAUCAUCCCACUCCCUUGGUACGAGUCAAAUCGCAUGCAUAAUUGCUUUUCACAAAGAUUGGUGCCGAAAUUGCAGUUUUGAUCGUGAGCUCGUUAAAUUUUAUGACUUUGCAACCAUACCCCCCUCUCUUAGAUUUCACAAUUUCCGUCUCUCCCCUCUCUCAUUACCUCUUUGUGCAUCCGUUCCUCGCUGAACGGCUGUCCCUGCGCAAUCAUCUCUGCACAAUUGUCUCCGGUUGUCAUUGCAACCAUGUUUGUGCACUCUUUGGAAGAAGAAAGAUGGCGCAGUGCUGCUGUUAAUGGAGGAGGUGGUCCAUGGAAUAAAAGAAAGUUAGGGUUUCGUUUCUUUCUUGACAGAAGGGUAUCUAAGGCUAUUUUAGGUCCAACUCAUGAUUAUUAUUAUUAUUAUUGUUGUUGUUGUUGUUGUUCAAAAAAUGAAUGGGUCUUUUUUAUUUUUUAAUAUUUUAUUUUCUAAUUAUUUUUUGACUGUUGUGUUAUGCUCUACAUUAGCUUUGGUUUGGGCUGAGUGUUAUCCUUGAAAGCCCAAUAAUGAAUCCAGUUAAGAGUAAUAAAUUAAUUUCAAAUAUUCCCCAACAAUGUUAAAUAACUUAAAUCUUUUCUUUACAAAAUGAAUAAAUAAAUAUUUCUUAGCCACAAAUAAUUCUCUUACUUUCUUAAAUCAACUAUAUUUAAAUGGAAAUUUUUUAAUUUAGUUUAUGUAAUGUGUUUGUGUAAUCUUGCAAACCCCUCGCGAUACUAGGUAAUCUUGCAACCCCCUCGCGAUACUAGGUAAUCAUGUGUGAAGAAUCUUAUGAUCCUUGUUACGGUUAAUCGAUCGUACAUUUUACAAUCUUGCUACCCUUCUCCGAUCAUAGGCAAGAUAUCAUCAAUCUUGACAACAUUGAAUAAAAAAGCCUUGCUUUCCUUUGAAAGUGUUUUUUUUUUAAUUAAAUUUUUACUAUGCUGUUUUAGAUGUUAUUUAUCUUUAGAGUAAGCAGCUGGUGGUUUUAAAUGCUCCUCGGUCAUGUCUCUAUGUCAAUUGCUUAAUUUUAGGUUAAAUUAAAAUUUGUGGUGUGAUUUGGGGUGAAUCUUAUGAUCCUUGUUACGAUCAAUCGUUUGUACAUUGCACAACCUUGUUACGCGCUUCUCCGAUCACAGGCAAGAUAUCGAUCUUGACAACAUUGAAUAAAAAAGCCUUGCUUUCUUUUGAAUUUUUUUUUAUUUACAUUAUUACUAUGCUGUUUUGGAUGUUAUUUAUCUUUAGGGCAAGCAACUGGUGGUUUUAAAUGGUCCUCAUGUCUCAGUCAAUUGCUUGAUGUUAGGUUAAAUUAAAAUUUGUGGAGUGGUUUUGGGGGUGAAUCUUAUGAUCCUUGUUAUGAUCAAUCAAUCGUGCAUUUUACAAUCUUGUUACCCUUCUCCGAUCAUUGGCAAGAUCGCAAUCUUGACAACAUUGAAUAAAAGCCUUGCUUUCAUUUGAAAGAUAUAUUUUUUUAAUUAUUACUAUGCUGCUUUGGAUGUUAUUUAUCUUGGGGACAAGCAGCUGUUGGUUUUAAUUGGUCCUCGGUCAUGUCUCCAUGUCAACUGCUUGAUUUUAGGUUAAAUUAAAUUUUUGGAGUGGUUUAGGGUGAGGGUGAGUUUGUGGGAAUGGGAUUUAUGGGCGGUAGUUAUCAUGUUUUUCUGUAGACAUUAGAACCAUGCUAAACAAGAAAAUCAAAGAUAAUCUUGCUUUUGUUUAUAUGGUAUGGUAUUGUUUCUUGAUAAAUGAAUUCAACGUCAGAAUAUUGGCUAUUUGCUGGUUGUUGCUUUUCUAUCUAAUCAUUUAUGUAAUAAUUGCCUUUUGAUUUUACUAUCACUUUGUAAACCAUAGGGUGCUUUUUUUAGCUUGGUGCUUUACAUGUUUCUCUGAUGUUUUGUAGGGAUAUGGCUUUGCAGAAGUAUGUUCCAUCCGGCGAUGCACCUACUGUUAGUUUGAAACAUUUGAGUUCCAGUAAGGCCCCUGAGAAAACUCAGCCUGAUGUAGCAAAUCAAAAUCAUGACAUGGAUGUCGAUGUUGACAUUGGGGAAGUUUAUUUUCUCAUUAUGCGCUUCCUUUCUGCUGGGCCAUGUCAUAAAACUUGUUCACAUCUUUGGAAUGAGCUUCUGGAGAAUCAACUUUUGCCUAGAAGGUAUCAUGCUUGGUAUUCAAGGAGUGGGGCAUCCAGUGGAGUUCCACACGAUGAUGGUCAAUCAUUCCCUUUAGAAGAUUACAAUAAGUUGGCCGAGAGGUAUUUACAAUGCUUUAGUUUAGUGUGUUCCCCCCUUAGCCUCUAUCUGUUGACAAUUCUGAGUUUACCUUGUUAAGGUCUUGAAAGGUCAUCAGCACGAGUCCAUUUUAUCACCUUUUUGCUAGUUUUGUUAACAGUAUGGUUGUUUGAUUGCUAGUUAUGGGCUCUAACUUAGAGCCUCUAAGUAGUGAACAAACGAGAAUGCAACUAUCUUUAUGUAUUAUUUUCCAUUUAGUAUUUUCAGUUGAUGUUGUAAUUAACUGUUGUAUAGGUAUCCUCAUAUUGAAAAGGAUCACCUGGUAAAGCUUUUGAAGCAAUUGUUAUUAAAUAAAGCCUCCCUGUCACCAGGCAUGAGUACUGGAAAUCCUCCAAAUGCAGCUGAUGUACCCACUCUUCUAGGAAGAGGAUCAUUUUCACUUCUGAGCUGUACGUGUAAUUUAUUUGUGCUUAUUAUUAUUAUGACUCUCAACACUUUUGGUUUCCCUUAUUACUGUGCUUCUAAUUGAAUUAGCUUUGCCUGUCUGUAUCUGUAUUUAUUGUUUUUUUCUCUACUACAGAUGACGGGGAUAAAGUGAAUGAAGAAGUUAAACCACCACCUCCUUAUAUGCGCUGGCCUCAUACGAAAGCCAAUCAGGUUCAUGGGCUUCAUUUGAGGGAAAUCGGGGGUGGUUUACCAAGACACCACCGUGCACCAUCUAUACGUGCUGCAUGCUAUGCCAUUGCCAAACCUUCUACUAUGGUACAGAAGAUGCAAAACAUCAAAAGAAUAAGAGGACACUGUAAUGCUGUUUAUUGUGGUAAGCUAUUUUAUAUAAUACGAGAAAGUAUUUAACCUUUUGUUUAAUUUUUAGUUGUCCGUGUUUACUUAAUUAUCUUUGAUGGUUAUAGUACAACCUAUUACUUAUUUUAAAUAUUGGGAACAGUUUUAUUUCAAAAUAAGAUGACCGAUACAAGAGCAAGUCUCAUAUCAAAUCUGAAUUCGAAAAAUGAGACACUGAUUCCUAUUCAUCUAGAUAUAUUGAAGCGCCAUCUGUGCCAUUAAUACACCCUUUAGAAGAAGUAGUAAAGAAACUUCACGGCGGAAAAAUAAAAGAAAAAUAAAGGAAUGCUCAUGAAAAUAAUAAAGAGAAUUUAAAUUUGCUGCGGUGUUCUAGGAGUCGUGUAGGUGAGGGAGUGACCAGUCAGGUUAUUCCUUGAUAGUGUCUAUUUUUCUAACAUUGUUACAGCGUUACUUCAAACAAUCAAAAUCGAACUAAAUUACUCCCACCCAAAGGAAUAGUUUGUACCCAAAAUUUGAAAGGAGGGAUGAAGAUUCAAUGAUGUAGGGAAAAAUAUGGUGUUUGAUAGAGGAUCAUUUGAUAGAAAGAUGUAGCAUUAUGAAAAUGAGGGUAGCAAACUUCCAAGUUUUGUUGGUUAUUCUUGCACACACUUCUUACAUUAAACAAUAUAUUAGCUUGAGUCCAUCCUUGUUCCUGUAUUAUAUUAAUUAUGUGAAAACCUCAAGGUUAAAAUCCCUGCUGUCUCUGUGAUCAACAAAUUUGUAGUUUUCCUUUGCAUGACAGAGAACGUGGAUCAUAUUUUACCCAACUCCAUUAGGUCUGUUUAGCCAAAGUAUCCUUGCUUUUGUUUCAAUUAUGUUCCAUUAGUGCGUUUUGAAUAUUCAUAAAUUUUUCACUUCCUAUCGGUUUUGAAAAGCCAAGAAUACUCUAUACUCGCCCCUUUUCUUUUAAUGCAUUAGAUUGCUUUUAUUAAAGGGGAAAGGGAGGAAGUACAAUUGAGUGGAAAAUUUAAAUACUCUAAAAUAAAAUACAUCAAAGCCCAAGGAACUUGGAAAAUCUAGACUGCCCCUAAGGUAUCCAUUUCCAGUCUAUGGAUGUCAGAAAUUGAAACUUCUUGCUUCAAAUAGCCAGAGCAGAACAGGAAAGGAGUUAGCCACAAGCACAAUUCCGUGACAUGGAAGUUUGGGGGAAAAAGGUCGCCCAUAAAGGAGAAAGCCUUCUACUCCAAAUACCCCAUACAAUUGAUUAAACAUUAUGCCACAAAAUCAUAAAAUUAACACAAAUGCCUGAAUUAACAAGACAGGAGAAGCUCCCCUCUCAUUUCAAAUAUGUACGAUAUCAUUUUAAAUAUGUACAAUAUUCUAAGUAAACUCAACUCAAUUACUGUACCUUCCAAGAUGAAAUAAAUAAUAAAUUCAUGCUGUGUGGGUUUUACUAUGAGUAUUAUUUCCCUUUCUGUUUUUUAUGAAUUUUUCUGUGUUUUUGGAGUUGGGCUGUUUAAUAAUAUCAUGCAACUGAGUUUCCUUUUUCUACAGCUAUAUUUGAUCGGUCAGGACGAUAUGUUAUUACCGGUUCAGAUGAUCGACUCGUAAAAAUUUGGUCAAUGGAAACGGCAUAUAGUUUGGCCAGUUGCCGUGGACACGUUGUGAGUCUUUUUUUUUGGUACUUAAAAUAUGUUUUCUCCUGUUUGUAUAGAUUUAUAUUACUUCAAUAUUUGCUGACCAUUAGAUUGAAUUAUGUUUGAUAGGGUGACAUUACUGACUUGGCUGUGAGUUCAAACAAUGCUUUAGUUGCAUCCUCAUCAAAUGACUAUAUCAUUCGAGUUGUAAGCUUUCAUGCGACAAAUUCUGCAAUUGUUUUGUAUCUUCUCUCCCUUUUAUCUGGAACUUUGGUUCUUAAAAUUUGACUAUUUGGUUUUUAUAGUGGCGCUUGCCAGAUGGCUUACCGAUAUCAGUUUUACGGGGACAUACUGGAGCUGUUACAGCCAUAGCCUUUAGUCCCAGACCUAAUGCUGUUUACCAGCUUUUAUCGUAAGUCUAAUGUUUAUUAAAGAAAAUGAGUUUAUAAUAGUCUUGUGGUUGGCUUUUGCAAAAAAUAUCCUUAUGCUUGGUAGUGUGGAUGCAUGUUGAGUGAGCAAAUGCAAGUUAUGCAACAGUUUCAUUCGAUUUUACAAAUAUUGUAGUUACUGAUCCAGUCAUUAGGCGUAUUUAAGUCCCAGUGGGUAAUUAUAACCAUCGUCAAAAUAUAUAUAGUUUGCUGUAGGUAACAUGUGAGCUUUCUCGAACCGUGAUAUGGGCUAAUAUGUGUUUCCCUAUGGGUCCGUUUGGUUCAAUGGAUCGGAGGGGAGGGGAAGGGAAGGGCGGGAAAGAGAGAUAUUUUAAUUAAAUAUAUGUUUGGUUCAAAAGAGAGAAGGGGAGGGGAAGGGAGGGAUUUUAAUUAAACACAUGUUUGGUUCACAAGGUGAGGGGAGGGAUUUUAAAAUUAAUUAACUUUUUUUCCCUUAAAAUUUAAUUAAGAAUAAUUUUAAGUUUUAACAUUAAUUUAAGGAUAGUUUUGUCAAUGUAAUAAUGACAUUAAUAAUUGCACACUUUUCCUCCUUUGGGGGAAGCAAUAAAUGAGUCUAUGAGGGGUUUUGCUCCCCUUCCCUCCCCUCCCCUUCUAAAAAUUGAACCAAACAUGUCAAAUUAAAAAUAUUUCCUUCCCUCCCCUCCCCUCCCCUCCCCACCCCACCAAAAAACUCAAACCAAACGGACCCUAUAUCACUCAGAUAUUAUUGCGUGCAGGCAUGUUUGUAUUGAACUCUUGACGGUUAAUUCUUCUGAUUUUCAGUUAUAUUUAUUUAGGAGUGCCACAUACUUGUCUAUGAAAUAUUAAGUAGCUACUUUAUUAUAAAUUCACUAGUUACUUUAGCUAGUUUAUGAGAGAUCAUCUGUGAGAGUUGGAUUGAUGCAUCGAUUCAUUAAGUGGGCAUUUGAUUUCGUCUAUUUGUUGGUUUCUUGAAUCAAUACUAUGCUGCUUGAUUAUGGCACUAAGAAAAUAUCUCUUAUUGAUGGAUUCAUGACACUAAGGUUUUGCAUGCAUUUAACCUUUUAAAUUGGUUUCCGUGGAUGACCCUUUUGCUUACGCAUUCCAGGUUUUCCGUUAUAAAUUAACUGUAAUGUUUUCUUUUUGCAGUUCCUCUGACGAUGGAACUUGUAGGAUAUGGGAUGCAAGGUAUACCCACUCAACUCCAAGGUUAUACGUUCCAAAGCCAUCUGAUUCUACUGGUUAGUUGAUUCUUUUGUUAGCUAAGUUUGUGAUGCUUCUUUUUGGUGAAAACUGAAAAGAAUUAACUUGAUAUAACAUAUUGGCUUCAGGAAGGAGCAGUGGCCCAUCCUCAAAUACAAUGCCACAGAGUCAUCAAAUUUUUUGCUGUGCAUUUAAUGCUAAUGGAACUGUCUUCGUCACUGGUAGCUCUGAUAAUCUUGCCAGGGUAUAUACAUAAAUAUAGUGUUUCUUCAUCGUUAUAGAGAUGCAUUAGUAUAUUCUGUGGUCUUUAUUAUUGAAAACAAAUGUAGGUUCUAUGAAUUGCCAUCUAUUUUUACAUUUAGUUAUUUCCAUUUUCCUCUUUUGAUUUUCUGGCAUGUGCAUGAAAAAAUAACCUCUCAAGGGACUGCAGAUGGAUUACUCUUCUCCAAAGCAAAAUCUUUCAUCCCUGUUCAAGCUUUUUAUAAGAAACCAAUGUCCAUAUUCAAUCAACUUCAACCAUUUGUUGUUUAGUACUUGUUGAUUUCUGGUGUCUUCAUCAGUUAAUGGUUAUCUCCUGCCAGUUAGUUACAACCUUCUAGGUUUUAACCAUUUUCUGACCACCCUGAGAUGGUCAAUGACCAUUUUUGUAUGGUUGUCAAAUGCUAACAAUACAUUUUCUGUGAUUUUGGAACCUGAAAACUUGCUCUGUAAACAGUUUCUAAGAUUUUAGAACCUUUUUGACAUAUAAGGCAUUGCUAGCUUCUAAAUCAAAUUUAUUAAUAGCAUGCUAUAGUGGCGGAGCAGAGUGGCUGGUGCCUGCUAUUUGAAGAAUGCAGAUGAGCUGUUUAAAGUCAGUGCUUCCGCGGCCUGUAUGGUUGCCCAGAUCACAGCCCGUCUUGGUUACGACAGCUGCCAAUGGUUUCAGAGUAGUAUUUGGAGAUAUUUUCAGUAUUUUUCAUGUAGAAAAAGUGUUCAAAAGAAAUAACCCCUGUGUAGCCUUUUAUCAUUCCUUAAAUUUGAACGCAGUCAUGCAAUCCCAGGAUUCCCGGCCUCCUCUCGAUGAGCUGAGCUUCCAAUUUGACCUAGCCCCCUAUCCGGCGACCUUUUCUGUAACCCAGCCUUCUGUGUUGUUUGUUCUUUUUUAUUUUUUCUAAUAAUAAAAAAAUAGCCUUUCAAAAGUUAAUUAGCUGUGUUUUUUAUGCAUAAUCACGCACAUACCCAGCUCCACAAAAAAAAAUAGCUCUUUAAAGCUUUUUGUGCGUUGGUUAAACUCACUGGUACAUUGACAUAGCACGGCAAGGGAACAAUUUGAAAGGUUUGGACAAUAGGAAGAGCGUGCCCUAUGACUUCUUGUUGUUAAUUAUGAAUACCUGAUGAAAGGUUUGAAAGGUUUUUUUUUUUAACUCUUAAAAAAAUGAAUACUUUAUGAAUUUUGAGUAUUUUUUAAGCAUUUCAAUCUAUAUAGUUUUAAUUAUUGCUAAAGGGUUUUUGGGGUCAGCCGUGACACGAUUCUGAGAUUCUUAACUAUGAGCUAAAUGCAUAUUUGGCUAAGCCUAUCAAAUAGAUUUUAGAAAAACUUGUUCAAAAUGUUUGAAGAGAAGAGAUUUUUGGUUGAGGGUAAUAUAAUGAAACCAGACAUGUAUUAAAUAUGGAUUUCCUGCUUCACAAUCUUCAGAGCUAACUGAAGGUUUUGCAGGUUUGGAAUGCUUGUAAACUUAGUAUGGAAGACGUGGAGCAACCAAAUCAUGAGAUAGAUGUACUGUCUGGUCAUGAAAAUGAUGUAAACUAUGUGCAAUUUAGGUUAGUAUUUUCAGCAUGACAUAAUUUUAAUAGAUGAUUUUUUUUUUGCAUGCUGAUGUUUUCACUGCCUCUUUUGCAGUGGAUGUACAGUAGCAUCUCGAUUUUCUACAACAGAAACUUGGAAGGAGGAUAAUAUUCCCAAAUUUAAGAAUUCCUGGUGUGUGUAGUAGCAUCUGAAAUGAUCUAAACUCCUAUCACGCUUCACCUUUCCUUUGCUUCUUAUGAGAAAUGUCAUAUAUCUAGUUCUCGAUGCUUCUGCUAUCUGAUAUAUCUAUAAUGGCUAUAUUUCUAGGUUGAAUCAUGACAACAUAGUUACCUGCUCUCGUGAUGGGAGCGCUAUUAUAUGGAUUCCAAAAUCACGUAGGUCACAUGUAAGUCUGUCAAAUAUAUUCUCCUUCUACAGAUGCUUUCAACUCCAUUCCCCCCCACCCCUCAAAAAAGGGAGAGUUGUUUUGCCUACUUUAUUGUUCAAAUUGUAAAAUAUCAAUUUGGUUAUUUAACAAUUAAUUAUACUUAUGGUAAAAAAAACAUGUUAUAUUUAUUUUAAUUUGUUAAACUUAUUCCAUUUAGGGAAAAAGUGGUCGCUGGACUCGGGCAUAUCAUCUCAGAGUUCCACCUCCACCUAUGCCUCCACAACCUCAGAGAGGUGGUCCACGCCAGAGAAUUCUUCCAACUCCACGCGGUGUAAAUAUGAUAGCUUGGAGCCUAGACAACCGCUUUGUCCUUGCAGCUAUUAUGGGUAAGUUGGUUGUUUUCUUCUUGUCUUGAUCCCCCCUUUUUCUCAAUUCUUGGUGUCUUGGGAUGAGAUGGUGAAUACAAAAAGCGAAGUCUUUCCACAGCUAUUCAACUCUCCUACACUGAAAUUCUCCAAUCAAAUCAGGAGUCGCAUGACUAAUUCUCCCUCUUCACUAUUCAUUUGUGUAAACUCUGUUACCAUUAACUUUCUACCGGACAGAUGCUAGUCCUUCCUAUUACCUAUUUAUUCUCACCUCACAAUGUUAUGAUCAACUGUCAACUGAACAGUUACUGUUAUUUGCAAUUCACGAGGUUCUAAUCUUCUGUUCGUUUUCUAGUCUUCCAAUUAUACACCCUCCUAACAGUGCGUUACUAAUAUAAUGAUGCGGCAGUCAUCAAUUGGCUUAUCUUGAAACAUGUAAAGUAUAAAAUAAUACUUGACUGUCAUCUGUCAUAUCACAGGGAACAUUUAAGCUAGUGUUAUAGUCUUAGGAAAUCAGCAAUUCUAAUAGUUUAAAUAGUCAAUUUAAGAUUGAUUUUGAUAUUCCUUUUGAUUGAAAUACUAAGGUCUUAAAGUGUGGAAAAAUAUAUUCUGAAGUAUCAUUCAAUUGUGUUAUGAGCACAAACGCUAAUUUGAAUAUGUAGACUAAGCUCUAACAGAACAAAUGAGGCUAACACAAAAAUAUUAAUAAUCACUUAAUAUGUACCUACAACAAUAAUUACUUAUCUACAGCACUCCCCCAAGCUGUUGAAUGAAUAUCUUAUUUUAUUUCUAACACACCUGUCAGCUGGUGCUCAAAAGGGAUGUAUGUCGUUAUCAAUUCAUUAUCAUCUUUUUCUUGGAAACGAAGAUAUUGAGUGAGAUAUGAUUGGAUAUAUGUUUAUAAGUGGUGGACAGUCCUCACUUUACAAACCGAUUAUGUAAGGUUAGAGUUAGGGGCCCAUAUUUUAAGAGUUCCCACAUGAGAACGUGCAAUGUCCUGAAGUGGGCCUUCUAUCGCUCACUGAGCCUGCAUAAUGUGCAUGAAUAUAAGCCUCCAUAGUCAAGCUCCCGCCUCUUUUGAACAAGAGAAAGCGUUUUAUUUGUACAUUGUUUCGUAUGCACUGAAUUUGUUAUCAUGUCACACUUGUACAUGUGUCAUGAUAAUGCAAUGACUAUUUUGUUUUUGUUUUGCGGUUUUGAAGGCCGUAGUCUAUUAUUUAUCUGACUUCAACUUGCAGAUUGCAGAAUCUGUGUUUGGAAUGCUUCUGAUGGCAGCUUAGUGCACUCAUUGACUGGGCAUACUGAAUCUGUAAGUGUUUAAUUUCCUGAUUUAGGCAUGUCUCCCUUUUUCCCUACUUUAGUACUUUGCCAGCAUUUAUACUGUCUUUUGCAAAUAUAAUAAUGUAUGAGGCGUGACUCCAACUAUUUAAGACAUAUUUAACGCACAAGCUGGACACCUGAUGCUUAAGGUUGCGUUUAUUAGUUUUUGUUUCAAACAGUUGUAUCAGAACAUAUCAUUCUAUUUGAUUAAUUUUCAGAAAAUUGGUCUUUUGGUUUCAUGGUCUCAAUAUGAUCUCUGUUGAACAUAUAUUAUGAUCUUUGUAUUUAUUGUAUAAGCAUAUCAUAUCAUGUAGAUAGGGAUAGAAUCUAUAUUUGUUUUUGUCUUUGUUAUCUUGAGCCUAUAUGUAGUUCAAACACACAGUUACACCAUAUGCCUCUAUCAUCAUCCCUCUUUCAAUAAUGUCUUAUGGUUAUGUGUUUUCUAGAAUUACCUUUUGGGGUAGCUAGUUGUGACAUAGUAUCUAGGACCAACUGGUUUAGAGCUUGAUUCUUAAUACCCACUUUUUUUUUAACAACCAUUUGAAUUUCAGCACAAGGUAACUAGGAUCUUGCAUUAUCUCCACAGCCCAAAGGGCUGUUGUAUAAGAGAGCUUGCUAGCGAUAUAUUAUAAAACCAUUCACGUAUUUACUUACAGGUUUUUGACAUUGAAUUUUAUAAUAUUUUUAAACAAUAUUUGAAUAAUUCUUAAAGUUAUUUUUUCCGCGAAGGAAGAAUUUUAUUGAAGUGAUUUUAUUUAUACCCAUUAGUUUACUUUAUCUGCUUUUGAUUGGCCAUGAUCAUCAGUCUUCAGUUUCUUAACUGCUGAUUUUCUCUCUGAGGAUAUGCUAAUCUAUUUUCUUGGUUUAAAUCAAACACUGAAGGGAUAAAAGCAUGUAAUUUUGAGGGUUCAUUUUUCUUUGUUUUUUUUUUUAGUUUAACUUGUUUUGUUUCUCUGCUCAUUUUAGACAUAUGUUCUGGAUGUUCAUCCUUUUAAUCCGCGGAUAGUGAUGAGUGCUGGAUAUGAUGGAAGAACUAUUGUAUGGGAUGUGAGUCUUCAGUUUCUUUUAUAUUGAUUUCUUGUAGGCAUUGGCAAUCCUCUAUCUUUAGAUGACUUUCAUAGUUUUAAUGACUUCAGAUAUGGGAAGGCGUGCCUAUCAGGAUAUUUGAAAUUUCACGUUUCAAGAUGGUGGAUGGAAAAUUUUCUCCGUAAGUACAAAAUGAGUGUGCUAGCUUCGAAAUUUUUUUGCUUCAAGUUGGUAUUGUAUUUUCCUUAUGUUAUUUGCAGUAUCUCAUAUCAUAAUUGUUAGAAAAUGCGGUUUGAAGACAAAUCUUGCUUUGUUCAAUUUCUUGCCAUGAAUCUCUAUCAAGUUGUUGAUCAGUCCAGCUAUCUGGCUAGGCUAUUUAUAUUGCAAUUCUCUCCAACUUAACUUGUAUCCCUGAGUUGCCUUUCCAUCCUUUUAAUUUAUUUGCGGGGCAAUACAUUACUUUCUUGUAACAAAAGCUUUAGCUUGAGGGGGAGUGUUAGAAAAUAAAAUAAUAUCUGAUAUUAUGCCAAAUUAUCUUUGUUUAUCUCCUAGGAUCAGUUUCCAAUAUAAGCAUAUUUUAAAUUAUCUUUUAAGUGCAUGGAAUAUAGCUAUUUUAUGUGGACUUUCUGUUUAUGGUGUGUCAUGAAUUCAUAUGCACACUACCUUAUGGCAUAGGGAUGGGACAUCAAUCAUACUAUCCGAUGAUGCUGGUCAACUAUAUAUAUUGAACACGGGCCAAGGUGAAUCCCAGAAAGAUGCCAAAUAUGAUCAGGUACAAACAACGUUAAAUGUUAACUGCUGUGUUACUCUUUCAUUUGUUACUGUUUUGUUGCUAAUGUUGUCUGCAAAUCUGCAGUUCUUUCUUGGUGAUUAUCGGCCUCUCAUUCAAGACACGCAUGGUAAUGUACUUGACCAGGUUAGUUGAUUGCUUGCUUGCUUCCCUUUUCGUUUAUGAUGCGUUUUGAACAUCUGUUUUUGCUCGUUGUCUUGCCUACUCGUUUCCCUUUUUAUUGUUUGGGCGGGGAAAGGAGUGAGGCUUUUUUUCAUUAAUAUUUCUAUAUUUUUCUUUUUAGUCCAAGGGUAAUUUUUUUCCUAGAGUACUCCUGGUCAAAACUGACUUUUCAAUGCCUAUAGAAAAACAAUUCAAUUAUUAAGUAUUCUGUUACAUCAACUUUCACAUGUAGUAAGAAGAGUAAAAAUAAUAAAUGAAAUGUCAAUACAACAAACCCAAUGUGGAAGUCUAUUGAAAUAUUUAAUUUUCACACCGGCACAUUAACUGAUGCAUUUUGUGGUGGACUGUCUACCCACUGCUUCUGUAAUAAGUUUUGUAGAUACACAAGUUUCAAUUGCAAUCAAUGAUAUCUAUCGUUGUAAAGAUUUCUCUCUUUGAUGUUUUAGGUUUUAUUUAGAAUGCUUGUUUUAUUUUCAAUCUUACACCAUCUGCUUUUUUAAUUGUGUGAUAUUUAAUGAGUCAGGAAACUCAGAUCACUCCAUAUCGGCGUAAUUUGCAAGAUUUGCUUUGUGAUUCAGGUCAGUUUCAGUUCUUGGUUCUAAUCUUCACACCUAUUCACACGCAUAAUGUAAACAUAUUGUUUCUCCCCACAUUUAUUCAUUAGUUGUUUGUUAUAUGCUGGCAAACUUCAGCAAUGAUACCAUACCCAGAACCUUAUCAGAGUGAAUUUCAGCGGAGACGACUAGGAGCUUUAGGCCAUGAUUGGCGCCCGUCACCGCUAAAGCUUGCUAUUGGCACUGAUUUCAGCCUGGACCCAGCGUAUCAUAUGCUUCCAUUGGCUGACUUGGACCAGCUAGCAGAACCCCUACCAGAGUUUAUAGAUGCUAUGGAUUGGGAGCCAGACAUUGAAGUGUUAGUUGAUGAUACCGAUUCAGAAUAUAAUUUAACUGAUGAUAGUUCUUCCCGGGGUGAGAAAGGAUGUUCAAGCUCCAAUGCCUCUGGUGAUCCUGGUUGCAGCACAGAUAACAGUGACGAUGAAGACACUCACAUGGAUUGCAUUCGUAGAUCGAAGAGGAAAAAACAGAAGACCGGCGUAAGCACACAAAUAGAAAGUAUAUAGUGAAUACUUGUUAUGUUUGAAAUAAAUUUAAAUUAUUCCCAUUUUCUUCUCUGCAGAUUGAGACUAUGACUUCUUCUGGGAGACGUGUUAAAAGGAGGAAUUUGGAUGAGUGUGAAGGCAAUGUUCACAGUAGUAGCCGAAGUAGAAAGGGAAAAAGUGGAAAAAAAUCAUCAAGGAGGAAAUCUUCAAAAUCAAAAUCUUCCAGACCUCGAAGAGCUGCUGCACGCAAUGCUCUGCAUUUAUUCUCAAAAAUUACAGGUACACCAAAUGAAGGAGAAGAAGAUAGUUUGGUUGGUGAUUCUUCAGAUAGUGACUCAACAUUGCAAGAGUCUAAUAUUGACAGUGAUGAAUCCGGUAGAGCUUCCGAAAAUGACCAACGGAAUUAUUCCAAGGGAAAAGAAGUAUUACUGUAUGAAUCAGAGGACUCAAAAUCUCAUGAAUUCACUGAGACUCGUGUAAACAGGAGGAGGUUGGUCCUCAAAUUGCCAAUUCGGGAUUCAUCUAAACCUGCGCACGAGUUUGAGAACCAGGCUGAGUUGGUUGGCUCAUCGUCAAAAACUGCACAAGAAUUUCCUGAUUUUAAUAGGAAGAGACCAAGUUCUUCAGAGCCAGGAUAUUGUUUGGGCAAUGGAAGUUACUCUUCAAUUGAAAGAACUGAUCAAGUAAAACUUGACCAGGUAACGGACCAUGUAGACUUGCUAGAGAAACUUAGAUGGGGGGUGGUUAGAGCUCGUUCAGCUAAACCUCUCAGAAUGAGAGAAGAUGUGCCACUAGGUGCAAAUCCCAACUCUGUAGAAUGUCGUAACCAUCUCAAUGAAGAAGAAAUUGUUAGUGUUGGGCAUGACAGAGAGGACAAGGACUUCAGCGGUACCUCAACCCCUGCUUUAGAAAUCCAAAAUGGUGAUAAGGUAGAUAGUUUGACAGAAAUAAAUGAAAAUUGUGCUGGCACUACCUCUCAGCCUUUCAAUCUUACUGAGAAUGGAGAGCCACUCACAGCUUCCAGCAAUUACAGGGAUCAAGAUGAAUCCCUAGUUUCUGCAAGCAUGAUUCCUGAGAAUAAUAUUUUUGUACCUGUCGGCCAAAGUGGGGCUGACCAACUACCUGAACCAAAUAUUGGUUUUCCUUCUGUUUCAACAAAGCUAAGAUCUAAAAGAGGUACAAGGAACCCUGAAAGUCCAUGUAAGCCUGAAACAAAAUCUUCAGUGCUAAACAAUAAUGCAUCUAGCAGUAAUGCUAAUAUUAAUGUGAACAAUGAAGAGCAUGUGGUUGUGGUUAAGGAUGACAACAAUACUGGAGUAACAUCUAAUCAGAGAGAAAAUUGUUCUCCAGAAGUUGAUGUUCAGGCUAAACAAGUUAGUACUUCUCAUGAUUCUCUAGAACCACAUUCAAAUAGAGAUAAAAUGUUCAAAGCAGUUUAUAGAAGAUCAAGAUCACAUAGGGCUGUGACUAAUUUAGCUGAUGGUAGUGGCUUGGGAGAAUCCACUUCAAAUGGCAGCAACAGUAAUUUUAAUGUGGCAGUGGACAGUAAUGGCACAAAUGAAGCUCUUCAUACCAAUGGUUCCCUCGAGUUGGAACAAGGUUCUUGUGUCCCAAAUAAUGAGCAGAGUAAUCUUAAAGUGCAGCAAGGAAAUGGGUCUUGUAUGGUUAGAAUUCCUCAGAAUGUUUCCCCAAAUAAAGGAAAACUCACAGAAGAAGAAAGGGGUUCUAGUUCAAAAUUGACUGUUGGUUUGAGGUCCACUAGGAAUCGGAGGUCUACUUAUAAUAUCCGUGAGACUAGUCCUGUAAAUAGACGGAAAUCACUACAAUCUGCGGUGAAGGGGUCCUGGUUGCUGUUAUCAACACAUGAGGAAGGAUGUAGAUAUAUUCCUCAACAGGGCGAUGAAGUUGUAUAUCUAAGACAGGUUAGUACUGAAACACUACAAAUACACCUUUUGUCUCAUUUAUAGUAUUUUUAUAAUUUUUGCAUGUAACACCUUUUCCUUUCAUUUUUUUCUUUUCUUUUUUUUAUUUUAAAGUUUACCUUUUGAAAAUGUCACAUUUUCAGGGACACCAGGAGUAUAUAGAGUAUAGCCGUAAAAGAGAAUCGGGACCUUGGGUGUCACUUAAGGAACAUCUGAGAGCUGUUGAAUACUGUAGAGUUCAAAGCCUUGAGUAUUCUCAUGUUCCAGGGUCUGGUGAUAGCUGCUGCAAAAUGACCCUCGAGUUUUUAGAUCCAAAUUCAAGUGUUGUUGGCAAAACUUUUAAAUUAACCCUACCUGAAGUGACUGGUUUCCCUGAUUUUCUUGUUGAAAGAACUAGGUUUGAUGCUGCUAUCCAAAGAAAUUGGACACGCAGGGAUAAAUGCAGGGUUUGGUGGAAGAAUGAGGAUAACUCCUCCGGUAAUUGGUGGGAGGGACGGAUUCAGUUUGUAAAAGCCAAAUCAUCUGAAUUUCCAGACAGUCCAUGGGAGAGAUACAGUGUUCGGUACAAGAGCGACCUCUCUGAUGAACAUUUGCAUAGUCCUUGGGAGCUUUUUGAUGCUGAUACUCAAUGGGAACAGCCUCAUAUUGAUGAUCACACAAGAAAUAAACUGCUAUCUGCUCUCACCAAAGUACAGCAGUCAGGAAACACAGUUCAGGUAUCAUUACAAAAUCCAUAGCAUGCAUUUGUCUUUUACCUCUGCAGGUGAAUGUAAAUAUUCACACUUCUAUGUGUUACUGAUAUCCAGGAUCGCUAUGGAUUGCAUGAAUUGGAGAAAAUUUCAAAUAAAUCAAAAUUUACAAACAGGUAUUCGAUCCAUCCUUUUUGAAGCAGAACUAUGCAAAAUGUAUCUAUAUUUUACCUUAUAUAUUUCUGGUGAAUUUGCAGAUUUCCUGUUCCUCUGUCAAUUGAAUUGAUACAAUCAAGGUUGGAGAAUAGUUAUUACCGUAGUUUGGAUGCACUAAAGCAUGAUGUCUCAAUUCUACUGACCAAUGCCAACUCGUUUUUUGAAAAGGACUUAGUGAUGACAACCAAAAUCAAACACCUAUCAGAGUGGUUCACUAGGACUUUAUCAUCUCUAUAACUCUUUGCUUCCUUAGGACAUGGCCAGUAUUAUAUUAUGGUCAAGGCAGCUCCAGCUGCUAAUUUUCCCCCAUAAUUUUAUUUUUUUUGUAGAUAUAUUCUUCAUUGUACCUUUGGAUUUUUUUUUUUUUUUUAUCUUGUUUAUGAAUUAGAUUUUGAGGUUAGAGAUAGCAAAAUCAGGAUAAAGUAGCAUUUUGCUGUGGAAAAUUCUGCGGCCGCCAUUCAUCAUUUGUACAGCUUAUUGAUAGCAAACGUGAAAUUCAAACUCAGAAUUUCUUUUGCUCUAAUCUUCUGGUUGGGGUAGUUACUACCGGUUCUUUUCAUUAUUUAAUCGAGGUAUAAUUCUCAUAAAUUAUGCUUUUGGUUUAAUUUUACUUGAUUAUAAUGCAACCAAUACACAUCUGAUUGAAUUUUGGCGAGUUUGGUUAGUGACAGAAACGAGUAAAGAUCCUCUCAAUUUACUUAAAACAAAUGGAUAAUGCCAUUUGGUGAGAGAUACAAAAAAAAAUAUAGUGGGUCCUAUCAUGAGUCCCAUCACUAUUAAUUAUUUGUAUAUUUUUUAAACUGUGUGGUGUCUUUAUCUUUUCAAAUGGAAGAAAUGGAGAGGACACUAAAUAAAGAGGAUCCUAACUCGGUAGGAACAUAGAGAAUGGAAUUUACGAAACGCAUACUCACUGUGUUGUGAGGGUUUUACGCACAAAAAGAAAGUUUGGAAAUAUAAAAUAAAAUAAAAAAUUGGUAGGGUGGGGGAGUGUGGGAACCUUUUUCUACAAAAUUUUGUGGAUACUUUUAGAGCAAAUUACUCUAACCAUAAGGUUUUAUUAAAUAACACAAACACCCAAAUUAAAAAUUACACUAACCUAUGAGUUUUCUUAAAUAAUACAUACAAAUACCCCUUCUAACUUAAAUUAAACACUAACCUCCUUUUAGUUUGUUAUUAAAUUGACAAACAUUUAUCUUUCACCUCAACAUUGUUAAAUCUCCACUCUCACACUUUCACUAACACUGAACUCUUGUUAAUUGUCUCCUCUAUUUGCAAACAUAUUAGUGGUAUAAAAUCAGUGGUAUAAAUUUACUGAAUAAUGAAUGGCAACUUCCUAAAAAAAUUGAGAAAUAUGAUAUGAUCGAAUAACAACCUCUUUUAGUGGCAAUUCAUAUUAAUUGCUUCAAAUGAAAUCCAUAUUCCAUAUACAAUUUCACAUGUCAAAUUGUAAACUAAAAUUUCACAUAAUGUAUAUUUAGAUAUGGUGAGUGAUGAGAGUGAAAGAUUUAGGAUGAAUUGAAGAUAUCGAAGACCAUGGUGUUUGAACCUAACAGUGACUGAGUAGAUAGGAGGUUGGCCAUUUUUAUGAAAUUUAGGGAGAAUCUGGAUUUGUAAUAAAUGUGCAAAGUUUGACGAUGAUUGAGGGUGUUUCGAAGAUGUAGAAGAAGCGAGAUAGUGGUUAUGAAGAAGAGGGAGAGGAUAAAAGUUCAUAAUUGUGUGAGUGAAAGUGAGAGAGUUGAAAGAUAUUUAACAAUGUUAAGGUAAAAGGAAUGUGUUUGUCGAUUUAAUAACAAAAUAAGAGAGACUAGUGUUUAGUUUAAAAUUAGAAGGGGCAUUUGUGUUAUUUAAAAAAAUCUUAAGGAAAUUAGUGUAAUUUGCACAUUAGUGUCCUGUCAUCAACUUUCACAUAAAAAUCUCACUUGUUAUUAUCACAAUAAAAAUUAAGCCCCAAAAUUUAGUAAAGAAUAAAUAAAUUAAGCCCAAAAAUGGAUAAGUGGAGGAAAAAACAUCAAACAUAACCUAAUAAUUUGGUUCAUUCAUCACAUUUGUCAGUUUCUCCAAUUUUUAAGUAAAAAAUCUGAUGGAUGGACCAAAAAUGUGUGACUUAAAAUAGGAAGAUUAAUUCCGUGAAUGAGUGAAAAUAUGAGGACUAAAACUAAUUAAGUUAGUUUUUUUUUUUAGUAAUAUAUUCAAGAACAAUGUUAUAAUAUUACAUUUCAACUAUAUUUUAUAGGGAAUGAUUCAUCUAAAUUUUAAGUUGUCCAUUUAUCAAAUUGUGAAGAUAUAGAUUUAACAAUGUAUUAUUAGAUGGGGUCCAAAUAUCCUCUCCGGUACGCCUCAAAAUUGAAAUUACCCCAAAAAAUGAGUGAUGAAAAGAAGAAAUAAAGAGAGAAAAUAGAGGAUCCAUUUCCAUUUUAUAAAUAUUAUGUGUAACUUUGCUAAGAAGCACAUUGACAUAACGCAGAUUUGAUUGAACAAUACUAUGAAAUUUUUUGAGAAAAUGAGGGUAAUAAAUUUUUCAACCAAUAAGCGUUUAAUAAGAAACCUUUAAACAUGUUGGUACUUGUGGAAGUGGAGGAAUAAAACUAUUUUUGAAGCUGAUUUUAUUAGGCCGAACAACCCAAUUUCUUUAAUUUGGAGAUUUGUCCAAAAUAUUGAAGAUUGUAACUUGGAGCAUGUUCAUAUUGGUCGAAAGUUGAAGGAAAUCAUCUAUAUAGGUUGGAAGCGGCCUCGAGAAGGUUUGAUCAAGCUUAAUAGUGAUGGUGCUUGCAAGGAUAUGGGGGUUAUUGCUGGAUGUGGCGGCCUUUUUCGUGAUUUAGACGGUAGAUGGAUCAAAGGCUACACUAAGAAGAUUGGAGCUUGUGAUGCCUUACAUGCUGAGAUGUGGGGACUAUAUUUGGGUUUGGACAUGGCUUGGAGGGAACAUUACUCUCAUCUUAUAGUGGAAAGUGAUUCAAAGAUUUUGAUCGACAUGAUUUCUGAUAAUUUCAAGUUCAAUGGAAAUAUUCCUGUUUUAGUUUACCGUAUCCGGAAGCUGCUGAAGACGAGUUGGAAUGUUCAACUCAAUCAUACUUGGCGUGAAGGAAAUAGGAGUGCUGAUUGGCUCGCUAAUUUAAGCAUUUCUACAUAUCAUUUUAAUUUUAUUGUGUUGGAGUCUCCUCCUUGUGAGGUCAAAGAAUCCUUUUUGAUGAUUUAUUCGGGGCUUGCAUGCCUAGGAAUGUUCGAUUAACUUCUUAAUUUUGUUUUCUUUUGGGCUUUGCCCUCUCUUGUACCAAAAAAAAAAAAAAAAGAAACCUUUAAACAAAUACUAUCUCAAAGCAAACACAAAAAUGGCCAUUUUGAUUCCACAUUUCCCCAUCCCUCAAGUUAACAAACCAAAGAAAUUCAGGGCCAUCCAUAAAAAUUUCAGCACGACGACCAGCAAGGAUUUGUCCAUUAAUCAUUUGAUCGACAGCUAUAGUUAAAACAGGUAGCACACAUAAUUCUCUAAUCUGUGUUAAAACAGGUCUUCUCCACAUCACUUGAUUUUUAAUAACUACAACUUUUCUCUUCUAUUCUAGAGUGGACAACAUAAUGAGUUCGAUUUCCCCCAACAGUUGAGUUGAACCUUGAUUUGGGCAGGCACGAAACUCAGUCUCUCCAGCGGUGUCCACAGUUUGGGUUGCAGCAAACAAAGAAAAGUGUCAUUCCUUCCUCGCCUCUGGCAGUUGCCUGCAUAUGCAUAGAAAAAAUUCAGAUGAUCCAUAAGUAAUAGAAUAAGGUUUCUGAUCAACAUACUGCUUGAUAUUUACUCAAUGCAUAUUUCUUCAUUGCUUUUCAAAAGGGAGCACAACUUUUCAAAAUUAGAAGUUUACACUGAAACUUCUUUCACCUACCUGACAUAUCCACAUUACAUUUCGCGGGCAGAUAGAAAUGUGUAUAUAGUGAAUAAAGGUUAGAGUAUAGAAAUGUCAUUGAGGAACUUGGCCAGUGUUUAGUGUUCAGCUAUGGAACUAAUUUUCCAUUUUUUUUUUUUUUUUGUGGUGAAGAACUAAUUUGGUAUUUGAACAAGAAAAGAAAGGAACUUGCAUAAAAUCAAAGGUCAAAGGUCCAAAACGUUUCCUAUUCAACGUAUGAGAGAUACAGAGUGAGUUUACAACAUAUAGGAUGCUGUAGUUACAACUCUGCCAAACUGUUUGGCAGAUGGCACAAGCUGCCACCUGUCUAACUGGGUCAGAGGGAGCACACUAGUUACAAUGAGCUUGCAUAUACCCUAUGAAACCUUCGUAUACUCAUUUACGCUAAUGACAGUACUGCAUGUCAAGAAUAUUUUGCCACUAAAACGAAAAUAUAAUAAGUUUAUGAAUUGGGUGUGGCUGUUAACCACAAGGUCGGAGGUUCAACCCCUCCUUCUAGUGGUUUCUCAUUUUAGCAACCCCACUUAGUGGGAUAAGGCUUGGUUGUUGUUGUUGUUGCUGUUGUGGUGGCAGACAGAUACACUAGCUAAUGAAUGUCAAUGCACUAAAAACAAGAUAAAGACAAUAGAAAGGCUUUCAAGCUUGUGUGAUCUAUACAACAACUCACAUGCCUCCUCCUAGCAUCUAUGCAAUAGUCAUGAUCCGUGACACUUUAUAACCCUAAACAAUUCAUAUUGGAAUUUGAUAACUUAAGCAGCAGAAAAACAUAAUAUCUGCACACAUUUACACACUAUCAAACAGUCAAGACUCAAACAUAUGCUAUAAUCUACAACAUUCAGGUUGUGGGUUGAGUUAUAAACAUUUCAUAUUUUCAUUCACUGCUUAUCCCUUAGCAUGAAAAUGCUUUCCUUCAAAACAUAUAGGUUUUUUCUUGCCUUCUUUAUACGAUUCACUUCUUCAUAAACUAAGGGAGUGAGAGUAGAAAGAUCAGAACUAAUGCUAAAUUGCUAAUCAGUGUAUUAUUUCCACAAAAUAUAUAAAGCUCAAGAGUCACAAUUGUCCUUAAAAUCCCUAUGACUCUACCACUCUAAUUGAAAGUCAAAAUCAAGAGUGACUUGGGAACCCUCUCUUCCCUCAACUUCUAAAAACCAUACAUACAAAACGAAAAUAAAAAGCAAAUAUUGAGUGUCAUCGAACAGCAACUUUACCUGGAAAAACACAGCUUCACCAUGAUUGCAUUGAACGCAGCGAACGGCUUUGGUGCGAGGAAGUGUUGGAUCUGCAGCUACAUCCUGCAACACUUGAGUGCGCUCAGCGACAGAGUGAUGAAUCUCAUUUCUGUAGACACAGAAGUUAUCAGCUGCCUCCUGAACAACAAAAACAACAACACAACCAGUAAACAACUAGUCAAACAAGCAUGUCAUAUAAAGGCCUGUAUGGAUUGUCCUAUUUAAGCUUACCUACUAUGAUAAGUACUUGUCAAACAGCUUGGAAAAGCUUAUGGAAACAAUUUAUAACAUAUCCAUAAAUUACUUUCAGCUUAUUUCCAUAAGCUCUCCAUAAUAUUUUUAUGAAAACAACUUAUAACUUACAUGAAAACACUUUUAACUUUAUUGUACCUUUUGUUCAAAUGUAGCUUAUACAAAAGCACUUACAUGAUAAGUGUUAAUACUAUAACCACUUAAUUAAGCUAUUUAUCCCAACAAAGCUUAAAUUAAACAAACUAGAACAAGAAAUGACCCCAGUCAACACCACCUUCAAAACAAACCAAAAAAACAACAAAUUGAUUUAUAUUUUGUUAAACCCUAAUUCUAAAAAUAUUUUUUUUCCUUCAUAAACCCUAACAACCUAAAAGAAAAAAAAAAAACUUUUUCCACUCAAAAUAAGCUAAUAAUGCUGAAACGCACUUAAAAUAUCAGAAAAAUGAAGGAAAUAAAAAUUCAAAAUUUCAAAACAAACUCAAAAAUCAGAAAAUGGGUCGUUUUUUUUUCACCAAAAUGAUUUGGGAAAUUGAAAUAACAAACCUGGUGAUCGCAAUUACGGCAAGCAUAGAGAAGAAUCUUCUGCUCUCUGUCUUCCUUAGGGUACAGAAUGUUGUUACUGAAUCAAACAAAUUCAAUUUAGAAAGCAAAAAAAAUGGGUAAAAGGGAAGAAGAUGAAAAUGAAGAUGAAGAGAGUAGGAACGAACCAUUCACGACAAAACUUCAUGGUACUCAUCUUGUUGGAAGAAGAAUAAGACCUAAUUCACACUCUCUUCUCUGCUGCGUUAUUCUCCUGUUUUCCCUCCCACUUCUCUGCUUUACAAUCUCUCUUGCAUCAAUACUAUUAUUUUUAUCUAUUUAUAUUUACUAUUUCAUGUUUAAUCUUAAUUGGUUAAUAAACUCAUGUAAAUGUACAUAACAAUACAAAUUAGAUUUUUGAGUGGAACAUUUCACGGGUGUUGAACUCUUAAUUACAAGAGCACAUUCUCUUAGAAAUCGAAAAGUUAACACCAAACGAAUUUAUCGUUUGUGUUGGUAAGGAAUUGAUUCGUUCGUAAGAUCGUGAGUUUAACUCAUGUUGUCGGUGUAAUGACCUUUUUGGUGGAUAAUUUGUAAGUAUUGUUAACGUUAGCCGAAUCUUAAAACUUGUUAAACUCAUGGUAAACUCUCGAAACCCACUCAUAAACUUUUUUAAAAACAAGUAAAUUAUUAAUUUGCCUUUUGAAAUUAGAGAUUAUACUUUUAUGAUUUAUCUCUGAGAUUUAGUACUCUCUUAAUUCUUUUUUUAUUAUCGCAUUUCUUGGGGAAUUUUGUUUAUAUUGAGUUUGUCGUUUUCAUAGUUCAAUGGCAUAUUAAUUAUUGAUUUGUCGAUCAUACCUUUAGUUACUCAAAAAGAAAAGUUCGACAAAAAAAAUUAUUUGUUGUCUUGGUAUGUAUAAAAAACCGAAAAAUGACAAUAAAAAAGAAAGAGACAAGUAAUAGACAAAAAAGACAUAACUUGAACGAUGUCGGACAACAUGAUAACUGUUAAUUAUAACCCCUGAGACUGGCGAGGAGGAGUAGUGAUCGUCAGUGCACAAGGCAUGGCAAUUAGCUACUCCUGACAGCUUCUAAGCGACCAAAUUCAUAUCGAAAUAAGAGGGAUCUCGAGGUUAUGAGGUAUAAGACUGCAUGGUUCAAGGAAGACUUAUAAGAAUUGUUUGGUACUACAUAUACCAACAAGAUGCAUCUUCUUUUUGGUAGUCCAUUUUAUAAGAACUCCAUAGUUAUGUGUGCUUGACUUGAAGAAAUUUUGAGAUAGGUGACCUUCUGGAAAGUUUCUCAAAAAGCGUGUGAAUGCGGACAAAACACGCUAAAAAGACUAGUGUUGGUUUAUGGAGUCAGUCGACAAUCUUGAAAGUCAUAUGGGAUGUUACAAAAACAAGAGAAUAACAUUAUUGAAAGUUGUUACAACACAUAAAAUCUUCUCUCAAGAACCUCAUGGCCCCCAACAGACAUACUCUUCAAAACAAAUACCUAACUAAAUCUUAUAACACUCUUAGAAAAGAGCAUAAGAGAAUAGAAACGAGUCAUAUACAAGCUUAAAGUGUUAUUGAAUGGUGCAUUUUUUAACGAAAAACUACAUCCCAAUAUUAUUGAUAACCUACCAAAUAUUGAUUAUUACCUUGCACUUAUCCCCCAUGUUUUGUGAGAUGUUGAGUGGUUGCAUGACCUAUAGCAUCUAAUCGGUGACUAUUUAGAAAUAUAUUUAUUUUCGUAUGUUAUUUAGUCAUACAGUCAUAGUCUCAGAUUUCUCACAUUUCUCUCCUUCCGCAUUUCACACCCUCAAUCUCUCUCUUCUCCAACACCAUGACAAUUGAUCGUCAUCAUCUCUUUGCUGGAUAAUGUAUUACAAAAUGGCACCCGAUGUUGAAAAAAAUUAUUAAAAAAAACUUAUGCAUUAUGGGACGGGGAUACCCAAACGCGUCAGAGACAGGGAUUCGAUUCGAUUUCUCAUCCCCAUUAGAUAUGGGUAGUGUAACAAUUAAGUAUGUGAGAGUAGGAUAUGGAGACGGGGAAGGAAAAACUCAUCCUCGCCUCGCCCUAUUGUCAUGCCUAGAUGCAAAGAGCUCACCUCUUUCCACUUUGGAAUGUAAUCAUAUAUUAAUAUAGCUAUCAUGUUUUCAUUCAUAUCUUCUUUAUUUUCUAAUGGUGAUUAAUCUCAUCAUGAGCUAAACCCGUUAGUGGUUUAGGUAUUAUGAGAUUAUGAUUAUAGUUGCAUAGAUUAAAGAGUUACAACUUCAAACUUCUUUUAAAUAAACUAUUUUAAUGAUGAUAUUUAAAAGUAACACUUGAUCACUUUUAAUUUCUUUGUCAAAUUCCUUGAGAGUGGAAAGAGAUAGGAAUGAAACUGGUUUUUUCAUAAGUUGCGUCCUUUAUACCGACAAGAGAUCAAAACUUGAAAGACUACUUGAUAUGAUCAUACAUUUAGAACAUAGAAGUUCCAAAUCUAUCCAGACUUCUUGUUAUAGGCAAAAGACUCAACCUCUCCAUGAGAAGAGCUAUUGAGACCUAACCAAGUAAUGUUGCAUAUUAAAUACUAUCAAUGAACCCUGAAAGGUGUGUCGUUCCAUGUUUAACAAGAUGGUUGAGUUGGAAUACUGAGGAUAGGUCAAGAUGAAGUCUUCUAUGCAAAGGCACGAACAUCACAUUUGUGUGUCUCUUAAUAAACUAUACUUGAUAUUGUUCCUAACAAUUACAUGAGAAUCAGGCAAGAAGACAACAUGGGGAAGCUCUAAGACAUUCGUCCUAUUAAACACGUGAAGGGAGAUCCUAUGUCUAGAGUUGGAUAUAUGGAUGGGGAUCCACGGACCAACCUAUUUAAUCUAUGUCCUAUGCGAGCUUUUGGAUCAAUAUUUAGAUCGUAGAUUAUGUGGUUUAAGUCUUUGGAUUAUUAAUUACUCAAAAAAAAAAAAGUCUUUGGAUUCUUAAAUUUGUUCAUGAUCCUUGUAACUCUUAAAUUUUGGGUAUUGACUACACUUCUCCACUAUAAUCAGAUUAUUGAUGUUCUUUUUAGGUGUCAUUUGUGACAUUUUUUACUUGGUAUUUACAACUUACAAGUUACAAGACAACGUUAUAAUCAAUAGUAGAUUAUAGGCUAAAUUACUUUUUUGGUCCUCUAACUAUUUAAUUGGUAUCAGAUUGGUCCUCUAACUAAAAAUUGAUUUAUUUCGGUCCUCUAAGUUUCUCACUGUUACUACAUUUAGUCUUUUCUGUUAGUUUUAUUCAAAUAAACGUUAGAGUUUGUGUUAUGUUGGUCCUCUAACUUUAUUUAUUAGUAUCAUUUUGGUCAUAUGCCUUGUUAAGGUAUUAUGAUUAAAUAAUGACUCAUAUUAUUGGUAACUGUUAUGGUUCAUAUGUAUGUGUGAAAUAGGAGGUCAGGUACCCACAUAACACAAACUCUAACGUUUAUUUGAAUAAAACUAAUAGAAAAGACUAAAUGUAGUAACGGUGAGAAACUUAGAGGACCGAAAUAAAUCAAUUUUUAGUUAGAGGAUCAAUCUGAUACCAAUUAAAUAGUUAGAGGACCAAAAAUAUAAUUAAGCCUAGAUUAUAUAGAUCUGUAUAAAACCGUAUUUCCAUAUAUAACACCAUUUUUUAUACAAAAUUUGUUUUUAUUUAUUCUUUUUAUUAUGGUAGGUGGAUCAGCUCGUUUGGAUGUGCUGGUCAAUGUAGGACAUACUCGUACCAACAUAUCAAAAUUCAUUGUCGUUUGCAGAAGAGAUAGCUUGAUACGUUUGGAUGUGCUGCUUGCAUACCUAACUCUACGUCUCUACCCAUGCUUAUUUUGCCAUUAUUAUACAAAAAAAAAUACAAGUGAAACUAAACGAAUAUACAUAUAUAGGGUUUUACAAGAUAAUUUCGAAGAAAAAUAUAGUUGUUUUAUAUGGGUAAACUUUUAAUUUAAAUAUUAUGCAUAUAUGUAAUAUGUUAUCAUAUUUGUUAUCAUGUGUACAACUAGGGGUGUUCGCGGUUCGGUUUUAAGGCUAAAAAUCAUUUGAACCGUAAGAUAAAAAAGCAUACUGUUUGGUUUGGUUCGGUUGACUUUUAAAAUAAAAUCCGAACCAAAUCAAACCAAUGCAGUUUGGGUUGGAUCGGUUGGUACGGUUUUUUCAAGAUAAUACAAUUUUUUGUUUUCAACAUUAAAAUUGAGUUAAAAAGGCAAAACACCACAUAGUUCCGACAAUGUUUCCAUCAAUGUUUUUAAUUUCAUUUCACAUUACAAUUUUAUUUUCACCAAACAACAUAAAUCAAAUUAAAAACGUGGAAACAAAGUAAUUCUUUUAUGUAAGAAAUAUAAAAGAUUAAGAUUUUAUCAUUCUCUAAAAGUUUAAUUAGCACAUAAAUAUAUUUUUGAAAUAAAAAGCAAAGAAGAAACUUAACAAGAGAGAAAAAAUAUGUCAUUUUAUAAAAGUUUCCAUUGAUUUUCUAUGAGUAUUGGUCUAGGUGAUAUAUUUAAUUAAAGUUUUUCUUAUGUUGUGGUUUGGUUUGGUUUGAUUCGGUCCGUAAAAUAAAAACCGCAAAUCAAACCAAACCAUGUGGUUGAGUAAAAACGUGAUCCGGAUACAUCCAAAUCAAAUACGGUUUUUUACAAUUUCAAUUUGAAUUGGUUCAGUUUACAAUUUUUCUAUUGGACUCGUUCGGUUUUAAACACCCCUAUAUGCAACAACACAUGAUAAGAGUAUCAUGUUUCUAUUAUUUCAUACGCACCAAACAUACUCUUUCUACUUUCCACAAAUUCCAAGAAAAAACAAAUCCUAUUAUUUUCUAAGACGAAAUUGAAAUCAUUUAAAAUAGUAUCAAUUAUUUUUUUUAUAAGAAAAUAUUAGUAUUCAAAUGAGUAGAUUAAAUUUUCUACAUUCCACAGAUUCCAAGAAAAAUAAAUUAUUUUGAUUAGUAUUAAUUAAUUUUUAUAAGAAAGUAUUAGUAUUAAAUAUAUUUUUAUUAGUAUUAAUUUUUUUAUAAGAAAAUAUUAGUAGUCAAACGAGUGUAUUAAAUAUUCCACUUUCCAAAAAAAAUAAUAUUUUGGUCAGGUAGUAUAAUGGCUCGAGCUCACACAUUUUAUAUAUAAAGAAGUGAGGUGUCCAAGGUUCGAACUCUAAUCUUACAUAUACUUAUUAUGCAUUGUCUCUAACAAUUGAGAUAAGCUCACGGAGACACUUUCCUCAAUGUAUAAGAAAAACAAAUCAUUUUGAUUAGUAUUAAUCAUUUUUUAAAAGGAAAUAGUAGUCAAAUGAGUGCAUUAAAUGUUAUACUUUCCAAAUUUUUCAAGAAAAACAAUUCAUUUUAAAUAGUAUUAUUAUUAUUAUUAUUAUUUAAAAGAAAAAUAUUAGUAUUUGAACAUGUACAUUGAAUGUUCUACUUUCCUCAAUUAUCAGGAAAAUAAACCAUUUUGACCAGUAUUAUUUUUUUUAUAAUUAAUUUUUUUUGACCAACAUAAAUUAGUAGUUAAUAUUAGUAUUAAUAUUUUAUUAAUAAAUAUUAAUAAAUAAAAUUUAUAAAAAUUGUUAAUGUUAUAUAGAACAUAGUAAUGGAAAGUUAUUUUAUAAAAAUAUCAUGAGUUUUUUUAUUUACACCCCAUGUUUUUCUGGUUACACCUAAAUUUUCUUAAUUUUUUUUUAUAAUACCAAAAUUUCCCUUUUAUAUAAAUUUUCUUAAAACCCUAAUUUUAUUCAUUGUCAGUGAGUUUCACCCUCUUUCACCCCACAAAGCGAUCGAUCAAACAAUUUGAUGUUCAAUAUCAAUCUCCAUGAAAAUUAAAGAGUGAAUCAAAAUAUUUUUCAUCCAUACUCAAUUGGAUAUAAGUAAGUGAAUUUCUUCUUCUAUUUGCUAGUUUCAAUUUUUUUCCUUCAACUGCAAUGAUGCACUGUACGAUUACGGUUUUAAUUUACAUUGGCAAGGUUAACUUAAAUUCAGUUUAAGUAGGUUCAUGUAAACUAAGUUUACAUGAACCUACUUAAACUGAGUUUACAUGAACCUACUUAAACUGAUUUUACAAAAUCGCAGAACUGUGAAUCGCAAAACAAGGAAAACACAAAAUCAGAACUGAGAACUCAUAACAAGAAAACACAAUCGAUUGAAGAACAACACUUGCUAACCUGAUUUGCUUCAAAUUUUCUUUGAAAUCAUGAAUAGACGUGAGAAAGUAUGGUUUUGAAAAUCUUCGCAGAACACAAUCGAUCGAUUGGAGAAUUAUGGUUUUGGAAGAAGGGUUUUGGGGUGUAACCACAAAAGAAGGAAUAGGCUUUUUGAAAAUCAAAUUUUAUGAAAGGGUAAUCUUGUCAUUUUGGGGUGCAACCAUGAUUAACUAGGGUGCAAGUAGAAAAACUCAAAUAUCAUUCAUUACAGGUAUUUAAAAGAUAAUUUAAAAGAAUUUGUAAAAAUGUAAAGUAAUAAAAAGUAAAGAACACAAAAAAAAAAAAAAAAAAAAAAAAGAGAGAGAGUAAAGAACACAAUACUCCUCCUCAUUUGAUACUCACUUGUCCUAAAUUAUAUGUCAUUUUGAAAAAAAAUUAUCCCAAAUUAUAUAUCAUUUUACAAUACCAAUGAAACAUUAAUAUUAUUUUUUCUAUUAUAUGCUUAAUUAUUUAUUACUCUUUUAUUUCAAUUCUAUAAUUUAUCUUUUUCAUACCAUUUAUUAUGGACAAUUUUGUAAAACAACCCAUAAUAUUUUUUUCUGUACAAAAUUAAUUACAUUUUAUAAUACGUGUGAAAUGCUCAAAACGUCAUAUAAUUUAGCACAGAUGGAGUAUAUAACUUGAGACAAAUAAAAUUUGUUAAACUGACAUAUAAUUCAGGGCAGUCCUCGUGAACUUAACUCAGUUGGUAUGAACAAUGCAUAAUAUAUGCAAGGUUCGGGGUUCGAGCCACCAACAAAAAAAUAUAAUUCAUGACAGACAGAGUAAGUGGGUACAUUAAAUGUUCUACUUUCUUCAAUUUACAAGAAAAAAAAUAUUAUUUUGAUUAGUAUUAAUUACUCCAUCGGUCUUAAAUUAUAUGACAUUUUGGUCAUUUCACACGUAUUAAAAAAUGUAAUUUUAUGGAAAAAAAAUAUACAUUAUAAGUUGUUUUAGAAAAUUGCUUUUAAUAAAUGGUACGAAAAAGAUAUAUUAAAAAAUUAAAAGAAGAGAGAGUAAUAAAUAAUUAAUAAUAUAAUAAAAAAAAUAUCAUUAAUGUUUAAUUGGUAUUGUAAAGCGAUAUAUAAUUUGAGACAGAGAGAGUAUCUUUUAUAAAAGAUAUUAGUAGUCAAACUAGUACAUUAAAUGUUCUACUUUCCUCAAUUUUUUAGAAAAACAAAAUCCUUUUGAUUAGUAUUAAUCAUUUUUUGGGUCUUGCUAACGAGUUUUCUCGGGACACUCUUCAAUGAUUUUAAAAUAAGAAAUUAUUUCAUAAAAAGUCAAAUAUUUCAAUUUUUAAUGCAUUAAUUACAUAAAUUUUUAUAAAAAAUUAUCAUUUAAAGAUCUUAAAGAAUACCCUAAGAGCACUCUUUAGUACUCCCUCCGUCCCUAUAUAUAAGACCCUUUUGCCAAAAUCUCGGGAAUUAAGAUAGUGGAUAUUUGUAUUAAACUUGUUUGUAAUCACUAUUGUUUUUACAAUUUUAUCCUUUAAGAAAGAAGGUUAGUUUAUGUUUUCAACAUGUUAUUUAUUGUUGAUUGAAGAAAAAGAUGUAUAAUAAAUAGGGGCAUGUAUGUAAAGAAAUAAUUAAUGUAGUUGGAAAUAACAAAGGGGUCUUAUAAAAAAGGACAAAAAAAAUUCUCAAAAGAAUCUUAUAAUUAGGGACGGAGGGAGUAUUUCCUUUAUUUUUUCAUAAAAAAUACUACUCCCUCCGGUCCUAUUUAUAAGAGAAUUUUGGGUCAACAAAAGUUGAUGUAUCUAGUUAAAAAUUCAGUCCAAAUACAUUCACUUUUGUUGACCUAAAUUUCUCUUAUAAAUAGGACCGGAGGUAGUACUUGCUAGUCAAACGUGUACUCUAAAUGUUCUAAUUUCCACAAUUUCCAAUAAAAAAAAUCAUUUUGAUUAAUAGCACUCUCUUCCUCAUAAAAUAUAAUUUGGUUGGUCAUUUUAAAUAUAUUAAAAAAUGUAAUUAAUUUGUAUGAGAAAGAAAAAUUAUGAGUUAUUUUUAUAAAAUUAUCAUUAAUUAAUAGUAUGGGAAAAAAAUUAAAGAAUUGAAAGAAAAGAUGACAAUAAAUAUUAAAAGUUUUUUUUUUUUUUUUUGCUAAGCUAGGAGCAAGGAUAUGCAUUAAGGGGAAGCAACGACAUCCCAAUUAGAUUGACACCUCGAAGAACCCCCAUCCUAUGCCGCCAAGCUCAAAUAAAAUUUAUACAAUUUGUAAAAUGACUUAUAAUAUUAUACAAUUUCUUUUCAAAGUGACAUAUGAUUUAGGAUGGAGAGAGUAAUUAUUUUUUUAAAAGAAAAUGUUAAUAGUCAAAUAGCUAUAUUAAAUGUUCUACUCUCCUCAAUUUCUAAGAAAAUAAAAUUAUUUUAAUUAGUAUUAAUUAUUAUUUUAUUUCUAAGAAAAUAAAAUUAUUUUGAUUAGUAUUAAAUAUUAUUUUUUAUAAGAAAAUAUUUGUAGUUAAUUUUUCCCAAACCUCCUAUAUAUAACCUAUUCUCUGUCUCUUAAAACCAUUAGGAAACUCAUUCAUACAUUAAUUUUGGUUUGGUUGAUCUAGUGGGGAAUUCAGUAGUUGAGGUAAUCUCAUGCAUAUUAUUACAUUUUUUUCAUGUAUUUUUCCUUUUGAUGUAAUUUGUAUUACAAAUGUUUAUAGUUUCUUCUUAAAAAAAGUUUAUAAAUUUAUGUGCUAACUAAAUCUUACUCAUAGUUACAGGAAAAAGGUCAGGAAAAAAAUAUACUAUUGGUAGGUGAGAUGAAAAAUGGACCUAUCCUCGAGAGGUAUGUUAGAUGAUGAACAAGAGAAUCAUAGCUCAAACAAAUCAAAUACAGCCUACACUUGUCAUUUUGUUGAUAAAGUUUUUGGUUGGAAGAAUAAGAUGAUCAAUUCUAGUUUAUGAUCUAUAAUUUUUUAAGAUGAUUUUAUUUAUUUAUUUAUUUUUGUUUGAUAGGUUCUAGUGAAUUCGAUCUUGUUUUAUUGAUUAUUUUGGAGAUUUUGAAAAAUUUUCACAAAUUCUCUGAAAAUACGGACCCUUUCACCAAUAAAUCAAGAUCAAAUUCUACGAAAACCUAUCAAAUAAAAAUAAAGCAAAAUAAUAAUCUAAGAAAAAUUUGGAUCAUAAGAAAGGAUCAACCAUUUUACUCUUCCAGCCUAGAUAUUUAUCGACAAAAUGAUGACUAUAGACUCUUUUUGGUUUGUUUGAGCUAUGAUUCUCUUGUUCAUCAUCUGACAUGACUCUCAAGGAUAAGUCCAUUUUUAAUUCACCUAUAAAUAGUGUGUGUCACACACAUUUUUUUUAUCUCCUUUUUCCUUUGCUUGUUCGUGAGACUUAUGGUUAGGUUAGUACAUAAACCGUAAAAUCUAUGUAAUACAAAUUAUACAAAAUGAAAAAAUACUUGAAAAACCCAAUUAUGACGUGGACCUUGGAAAAAUACCCAGAGCUCAAAAUCGAAGCAAGAAAUAACAAGGAUCAGAAACCCAAUAGCAUUGGCGACUACAAGAACGGCCCUCCAUUUGGGUUUAGUCACAUACAUGUAUCUGUGUAUGAUUUAUUAUAAUAAAAUCAAAUUAGUAUAUUAUAUUUAUUGUUAUUUUAUUUAGAACAUUUAAAAAGUGGCUAAAUUUUAUUUAUUAGUGACAAACAAAUAGUUGUCGUGUGUAUCAAUUGUAUGUGCUAACGACGUCUUUACAGACUCAAUACCAAAAAAAUAAACAAAGUUAAAAAUUGAAGUGUGAAAAGUUAAGUAUAUUAUAAUUAUUUUUAUUUAUAGACAGUGUGUUAUAAUCGUUCUCGUUUUUAUAUGGAUGAUAUUAAAAAAAAGAUUAAUUUUAACCCUUUUUAUUAGCGCACGCAUACACACAAAUACAUACUUAAAUUAAUUUUAGUUAACACUUUCGUCUUUGUUUUAUUUAUUUUUCUCCGAUUUAAUCACUUAUGUUAUAAAAUGUAAACAUCGUUAUCCUUUCUUUAUUAAAAAAAACAUAAAUCCAUAAAAUUAAUCAAAAAAAAAAAAUCAUAACAAAACUCAUAACUUCAUAAAAAAGAAUCAUGGAAAUUUCAUCUUCUUUAUUUUAUCUCUCAUCAAUCAACUCAACACUCCAACAACAUAAAAAGGAUCUUCAUCUCUUUUCACCCUUUCUUCUUCGAUUUUCUUCUAUUUGGGUAUCGAGUUGAAAUAUGGUUAUGUUUGUUAUUUUGGUUUUGGUUUUGACUCUCUAUUGUUUGGUUUUUGCUUUGGUUAUGUUUGUGUUUUGGUUUUGGUUAUGUUUGUUCUUCUAACCUUUACAUUGUCAUUUUCACUUACAUAAAGAGGGGGGAGUGUGAGAUCUAUUAAAAACUAACUUGUUUGUUAUUUUACUAAGGUAAAAACUUUUUUUCCUUUCCUUUCUCUCUUGUGUCCAUAAGCACAACCAAACUAAGGAUAAAACCACUAAAACAUUCUCUUUAGGCCUACCCACAAAAAAAAUAGUUUUCCUUAAGUUUUAUAAAUAAAAGGAAAUAUGUCUAAAAAGCAAAGGCUAUAUUGUCAUUUCAUGAAAUUUGGUAUUCCUCCGCAUGCGUGCAUUCAAGAUGGGAAAGUUUUUAGAUGUGGGUCCCAUCAUAAAACUUUCUUUCCUUACCUUAUUGCUGGCAAACCAAACAACGGAAAACAGAAUAUUCUUCAAUCUUUCUCUCCCUCCUCUUUCUUUCCUUAUAAACAUAGCCUAAGUUUUAUAAAUAAAAAGGCCUCAUAUGCAACACCUUUCAAAUCAAUCAAUGAAGGUACAUAUAUUUAAAUUCUCGAUUUUGGUAUCCUCCUCUUACCAACCUUCUCCUUGUUAGAAUUAUUCACUCCAUUUUUAUUUAAUAAAGAAGCAUAUGUAUCCCCCUCAACCACCCCUUUCUCUAUAAGCCGAUCAUAACUACAUGAUCCAUGUCCCAUUAGUUCUUGCCAACAUGGGGGACAAGACUAAGAUGUUGAAGUCAUACUAAGUUUCUCUUCCAAAUCCCCAUUCUUUGAAUCCAUCGCACCAACUAAUACCAUAGCCGUAACUUCAGUGGGCACACAAUGAUCAACACCAAUACUUGUAAUCUCAUUAUUCCCAACCUGAUUCGAACCACUAGCUUGAACCCGCUGACAAGUGUUAUUCACAGACAAUCUAUAAUCACCAACAUAAACAUUAUUUAGAGCUUUGUUGAGUUUUUCCACAUCUCGCACAUUUGGAAACCCUCUUGGUGGCUAAGGGAUACAAUCAAAUUGAGGGGUUAGACUAUUUUGAUACAAACAAGCUCAUUCAGAUCACUCCAUGGUCACAAAACAUACUCUCUUUCAUUAUUCUUCUAGCGUAUGUAGAUAUUUGGUAAAGUUCAAGUUGGUCUUCUACACGCGAGUUCUCAAGAACAAUUAGCAGAUUUCUUCACCAAAUCUCUCCUCAAUUUGCCCAAGCUGAAUUUGGUAAACAUUUACCAAUUUUCAUCUUGCGAGGGGUAAUAGAGGAUACUAGCUCAUGUUUUUAGGAUGCUAUCAAAAUCUGAAACUUAAAAAGAGUGCCUUAGGCAUUUGUUAAAGAAACAAAUUUUCUCAACUCCAAAAUUUCAAUUUAUUCAUUUCUUAAUUAGAUUUUUUAACUAAUAUCCUUAGAGUAUUUGUUAACAUGACCCUUAUCUAUAUACUACUCUCAAACUACCAUAUCACUGUCCUCUUAAGUCUUAAGUACAAACCAAUCAGUAUCUUCAUUUGUGAAGUCAAAGUACUUGACCCAAAAAAAAAAAACUGCCAUAUCACUCCUAUUUUUUUUUCUUUUUCCACUUGCUUACUUUCAAUUGUGUGCCACUUGUAUAAAGAACAAAAUUUAGAUAGAAAGGAAGAGAAACAAUAAAAAUGAGAUGGAAUAAAUGUUAUCAUUUUCUCUUCUAUUCCAUCAUUUAAAAAAAAAAUCCAAACAAUAAAAUAGUAUACCACACUCAAGUAUUGAUCCAUAUAUCUUUUUUUUUGUUCUAAAGAACCAUUGUUUUUCUUCUGAAGAGCCUAACUGCAGAAUUUCAUGUAUAUUUUUGAAUAAUAAAAUACCAAGCUUUUAUUAUAUUCUUUUUCUACUAAUUUAUUUUUGGCCAAGUAUUUUUUUCUACUCUACUAAACCAACAAAACAAGUUUAAGCAAUAGAGGAGAAAAGCAUCAUAAAUGAUAACUAAAAAAAUUCAAAAGGAAAUUCUUACAAGUCCAUCUUAAAUAUGUAUAAGGAACUUUUACAAUUAAAAAAAAAAAAAAAGAUUUAGUAAAAGCAAAUAUCCAUAGACAGAGUACCCAUUUAGAAAAUCCCUUUGAGAAGAUUUGCAACAGUUGAGAUUGCAGCUCCAGUGAUAGCACAUUGAACAACAUGUUCAUGUGUGGAGUCUUCCAAUGUAAGUGCAAGGGUAGCCCCGGUGAUUGCUCCAGCAACUGCACUGUUUUUCUGCAUCAAACAGAACAAGUGAUGAUGUUAUUCUUAGAUUUAGUUCUAAAUUUCAGUCCCCGGUUGUAAUUCGACAGAAAUAUAACAGCUUUAGAUUUAGAGGUCUCUGCAUCAGCCACAUUUUACCGCAGUAUAAAGGUUCGCAGCAUAAUCACAAAUGCGAUCCCAUUUAAAACUAUGGGAAAAUAAAAGCAGAAACAAAGGCAUUUACCCAGUCAUGAGCUCCUCGAGCUUCCUUCAGCCCAUAUGUUAGGCCGGAGUAUAUUCCUGCAGCCACUCCUGCAAUGCAAAAGAAUCUAUAAGGCUCAUGUGUCUACAAAAGGAAAUUUUACCUUUGAAACUGUGUAAUAUUGUCUAUUUCAUCAUAUCUUACAAUAGUUAUCAUCGAAGCAAAACUGAAAGCAUUUUGUAAUUUAGAAUAAACACAAAACAUGAGCAAUUAGAGGAAAGUACGAAAAUGAUAUACAGUUAUACAGCACCAAAAGGAAUUAUUAAUCAUUGGAAAAUUUAUCAUGAUAUACAGAAGCAUAUAGAGUGUAGUGUCUUAUGCAAGUAAAGGGAAUAUUUUAUUACCCCAUUGUAAGGACUCUUUCCCAGUGUUAAUCACCUGAGGAUGGGAAAAAAAGGAAAUACAAUUAAUAGAAAAACACCACACAAUUAAUAUGAUAUAAGACUCACCUGAAUUAUCUCAUAUCAUUAUCAACAUCUCAAGUUUUGCUCACAACGUGCUUAAUUUAGAGGGAAAAGUAUGUAUAAUGUACAAUCAUAUAAAAGAUUAUAAACUAAGUAACUCACCAUGGCAUCGAGGGAUUUGUUACUGGUCUCUCCUAGUUACACAAAAACAAAAAAAAGAGGAAAUGUUAAUACUUAAUUAGUUCUAACUUGAUAAUAUUGCAGCAAAAAUGCAAGCAAAUUUGAGCAAUGAGGCCACAAUUGUGGUUGCCUAUGUCAUUGCACACAACUCUAAAGUCUAAACAUUUUCUGUUGUCUGAAAUUGCAGUCUACAAACCGCAAUUUAAAACCAUGGUCUAAGUGAUAGAAAUGAAUAGUCAUGGCAUGCAUGCAUGUGUGUAUGUGUACCUCUAAGACCUGCUGGCAAACGACGUUUGUUGGUUGGUGAAACAUCUUGUGGAAUAACGCCACCCUUAUCAACCUUGUGACCUACAAAUGCCAAACCCUCGGGAAAAUAUAUUAUUCAAGUUUACUACUUUCAUCAUGCAAAAUGAAAACUCAGUUUUAGAUAUUUAUUAGAUACAACCUAUCAGGGGUGGAGCCACCCCCCAGCUAGCCUGGGCUAGUGCCCAGGCUCAGCUCCAACUUUCUUUGUAGCAAGCCCAACCAUUACUAGAAUUUUUAGCUUUUCCUGCGGAUUUUUGUGUAAAUUCCGCAGGAAACACGUUUCCUGCAGAUUUUGCCAAGGAUUUAGGUUCCGCAGGAAAGAGAUAUCCGUAGGAAAUGUGAAAUUAUCUGCGGAAAAUGUGAAAUUAUUCGCUGGAAGGAAGUAACAUUUUGCGAUAAAUUUUUUGCUCAUGCUCUAUAAAAUUCCUGGCUCCGCCACUGCAACCUAUAAAGCACGAACACGCUAACACACUGACACCGAUAAUUUGAGAAAAUUACAUAAUUUAAUAUAACUAUAUGUGUCAGUGUCGUGUCGGACAGGACAUACUUAAUUCAAGUAGUGUCCAUGGUUCAAACAACAUAGAAGCAUAUACUAUUGCAUGCAAGUUAUGUAUAGAAUAGUAGUAAAUAUAGAAAAUAAGGCUUACCAUCAAUGGCAGUGAAAUAAGCCUCACGAGAGACAGCUUGAACAGCACCAAUUCCAGCAGCUUUGACAAAACUCUCAGCAAUGCGGUUAAGAAGAGGGUGGCCAAGGUCAAACAGACCUUUCCUAUCAAAGCUACAUAUCUCAUCAAGUAGAGCCCUUGUCUCUACCUCACUGCUCGUCUUCAAGUUCAUCUUUGAUUAUUUACUCCAAAUGCAAUUCAAUUCUUCUUUUUGAUGAUACGGUAUAGAGAUGAAAACAAGUUAUUAUUAUUUGGCUACAACAGAGAAAGAAAAAACGGAUUUUGAGAGUAGUAGUGGGUUGAAGAACACGUGUACACACCACUCACACGUGGCGUUUCGUUAAACAACUAGGAUGCAGAGUUGUUGGCCUCCCCCACUUGCAACACAUUUGACACUAUUCACCUUCCUUCGGUUUUCAUUUCCAGAAUAUAAUAUAAUAAUAUAUAUCUUCACUUUUUAAUCGUCUCAAGGAUAAAGUUGACACAUUUUUACAAUCUCAAUCUCCAAGAGAGAAAUGCCUAACAACAUUCUCAUUCUAACAAUAUCUAUCUCACCCUUUUAUGUAAAAUCAACGUAGAUCUCACGUAGGUUUGGUUUCGAUCCAUAAGAAGGUGAGUGUUUUGAAGAGUGUUACAAAGACAGUAUUGUUGCAUGAAGUUGGUAAUUUGCUUUAUGCAUACUAAAUUGUAAUAAUUAUAUAUUAAAUUGUUGAUAUAUUAAAAUUGCAACUACUAAUUCUUUCAUGAAUAAUUGUUAAUCAUAUUUAUACCUUCAAAGAAUGAGUAUUACAAAAAUUAGAGGAAAAAAGUUGAGAGCACACUUUUAGAAAAAUUAAAUCCCUUAGGAGGGUUUUUCCCAAACAUAACUAGACUAAUGUAAAUGACGCGAAAAGGGAGUUAAGUUCAGUGCAUUCAUAAUUUAAUAGGGAUAUACAAGAUGAUACUUUCUACGUAUUACAUCUGAAAAUUUGUUAAUACAAUCCCACUGGCACUGCACAUAUUCCUAUAUCACUUACAGAGGGGGGGACAGAUAAAUAAAACCUAUGUAGGGCAGAUAUUGGCGCCCUCUAUCAAGGUGUUAUUAUAACUUAUAAAAACUACAAAAUGACAACAGGAUCAACCCCCCAAAUCAGAAUUCUCUAACAGCAACUAUGAAAAAUGAGCUGAAAGAGAUAAAAAAUGGUGACAAGGAAACAAAACGAUAAUUUAUUGCUGGUGAUGAAUGUUACAGAAAAGCAACUAUUACUAUGUUCAAAGCUUGAAACAGCCAACCAAACAUGGGAUCAGAGCCAAGUUGCUCUAUAAUAUCUUGCCGCCUCCCAUUGGCACUGUAUAUCAUCUGCAAUGUCCUUCACAUGUGCAUAUCAGAACCUAAACCCUUGUAGAAGGAAUUUCUUGUUUCACAGGGCACAGCAACCACCUUGCCACCAGCAAAUUCUUGGGAUAAAUAUCACAAUCUGCUUUUCUCUAUAUGUUUAUAAAGUUUUAAGAACCUUUUACGGCCAUCUCUGGCGAGGAUUUGGGUGAAACCAGUGAAUGUUCCUCGCCACCCAACUGUCCAUUAUCUGUAGUGCCAUUCGAUCCAUCAGAGAAGUUCCUAGGUGUAUCAGUUUCUUUCUCUACAUGAUUCUCUUCAGCUGUUGUGUUACUAUUUUCAGAGCAGCUCCUAGAAACUUUUAUCUCUUUUUCUUGAUUGUCUUCAGUUGAGCUCAUCCUCCCGUCAAUUGUCUGAUCACCAGUAUGAUCGUUCAUAGCAGUCUUCUUACCAGGUAAUACAGCCUGGCUCAAAGUUGAACACAAGGCAGAAAAAACUGUGUCUUUUGAUUUUAAACUUUUAGACAUCUUCUGCUUAUGUACAACAUCCGUCAUCUUAUCCUUCAAAGGCAACUUUCGUUUCGUUCCGAGCAACUCCAAUGCCCCUUCAUCCUCUUCAGAAGCUUCUGGCUGCUUCCUUGGUGGUGGCUUGUAAUCUUCAUCAUCCUCAUCAUCAUCAUAGUCAACCAGUCCACCAGACCUCGGACUGAAAACCAAAAGAAACGCAUUGCCUUACAAAAAAUGAUCUUGAUAAAAUUGGACUAGUAAGAUGCAAAGUAAAGCAAGUAUACCUUAAAUUUGAAUGGCUCGCCGCAGCUCCAUUGGAUAGCACAUGCAGCGGCUUCUGCUGCUGCCCUUUCUGAUGAUGUGAAAUAGACGUAGAGGUUGAAUCCUCAUCAUCACUGAUUAACCACAGAUGUUAAAUAGACUCCAUGCCAGAAGUAUAAAGUUUCCGGUAACAGUUAACAAAAAAGAUAUAUACCUGUCCUCAUUAAAGUAGUCUUCCUCUUCUUUUUCUAAAGCACGCUCCUCAAUUCGUCUUCGAAGAUCAUUCGUAACAGUACCUUUUGUCCCAUCAUUAUCCAAACACUGCAAGGAAGCAUCUAAUCUCAAAACUGCAAGCAAGCAUUCAUAAUUGCACUGCAUUUGACUUUGAGCAAGAAGUCAGUAGAUAAAACAAAAUGGAAAAUACCUGCUCGUAUUUUACUUUCAGUGAAUGAAUGGAAACCAAAUUCUCAAAUUUCACUAGCUGGUCCCAGAAAGAAUCAACUAUAUAUGUUAUCAAUAAUUUCAUAUUCUCCUGCAUUAUACAAGAUUAUCAGCACAAAAUUGCUUUGAGGCAAUUAAUAUCCAAAAUGAAUACAAACAAUUUCCAAAAAAAAAUUAGUAUAAACAAAAGACCAAUACCUUGCGAAUAAACUCAAAAAGUUCAAGAACAGCAGAAUUGAGCAGAUUGUAGCGACUGCCAUUAGCAACGAAGACGUCUACAAGUGGUUUGAGAAGGUUGUUUCUGACAAAAUGAUUUAUCAGGUGCUCAUCCUGCAGAGAACCAAUAAUAUAGAGCUUAAAACAAGAUAGUUUUGUUAAGUAAAAAUGAUUCAGCCAAUUAACCUAUAAACUUGCACCACAAUAGUCUAGAGAAAAGUUUCCAUAAAGCUGCCAACAUAAGCAACUCAAACAGCACUAAUCAAGUACGCUAAAUUGUCCAAAAGUUAUAUUUUGGCCAACUGACACCUUCAUCCCCUCAUGAAUUGAAAAAUUUAAGCAUGACUCGAUAACAUAAGUUAACAGUUAACACGCAUUUAUACAGUUAUCAAGAUAUAAAAUGCUCUCAAACUGCCAAGAUGCCAUGGUCCUCAUACGUAGUCUGCAAGUAUUUACAGCAUACAUCUGAUCAUUAACUCCACUUCAACAAAGAAGAGCAAGGAGGCGAGCACCAAGAUGACACAAGGUACAACUUAGUCACUGAUAAGAUUUUGCAAGCGGAAAGAAUCUAGAGCAGACAAGAACCUCUAAACAAGAACUUGGUUACAUAGUUAAUGAGAAGAAAUUAACAGUUAGUUGUGACUUCUAAGCCAGUAGAGAAUGAGUUACAUGUUUCACCUGGUACAAACUUCUAAUAUUCCACCCAGAUUAGAUGAGGAUGUGAAGAAAAAUAAACUACAAAUACACAGUAAUCAGAGUUUGUUAUACAAUGUUAAGGGGAGGAGGAAUGCCCUACUUUCACUCUAGACAGGGUAAUAAGACCCUUAUGAACCAUAUAAUUGCAAUUACAUGCUCUGGGUGUUGAAAUAUAUAUACAUAUUGGGGCAGCGUGGAAAUUUAUGCUCUGGCAGUUGCCAAAGACAAAACUGAGAUAAUAUCUACACAAACGUAUGAGCUUACAUGACGAGAGAGAAUGGUACGAACAAACCGAAUAGCACCAACAACCAGAUACUUUUCUCUUCUUUGUGUCAGUAACAAAAUUUUAUCAAUCACAUUACUCAGCAGAAAACUGCACCUGCAAGGAGCAAAGAGAAAACAAUUAAAUUUUCAAAUGAUCAACAACAUAAAAGUCAAUUCUGAUUUUUGCAAAGCAACAAGGAAAUACUUUAUUCGGUAUGGGUGGUGUAGAACACAGAAGCAUAGUAGUUCACAUAUGUUCAAUAGAAUCUCUGGCUUUGUCCCACUGUGAUUUUGGUCUCCUUUGUCAGGGUCUACAAAUUUGUUGCUCCCAUUAGCAACAUUUUCUGGAGGACAUGAAGCUGUUAUCACUUUGACCAGUUGACACAAAUGCUUCUCGUAGAAAAUAUCAAUAGUAGUGUCCCUCUGCCAAACGAAAUGUAAAGUUAAGUAAAUUGUAUGAUAAAAAACGGCUUAUUUCAGAAUGUUAAACUUAAGUUCACAUAUUAUAAUUAAAGUUAACAAAAUCUCUUUUACAAAAAGAAAUAAAUACUACAAAGCACAAACUAAGAUAUAUUUUAGUCGAGAAGCAUUUUGGUUAAGUAAAUAUCAGCAACAACGCAAGGCAAGAUUGAGAGAUCAGUAAAAGUAACAGAAAGUUGAACCUGUGCCCCAGACAAUGUAGAUGAGUCUAAAAGAAUGCGAAGAAUCUCAAGAAACUGGCAAUGCAUGUCGUCCCCAAAAUCUGUUACCAUUCCUCUAACCUGUACAUUACAAAAAUCCUUUAACAAAAAUGAUAAAUAUUCAAAAACCAUGCUGUCAUGUUCCAUAUUUCCAUGCAAAAGAAUAUGAGCACUGCUGAGAAAAUAGAAGAAAAUACAGGAAACAGAAAGAGGGCGAAAGACACCAAAAAAUACUCUAAUAAACAGUUGCAAAGUAUUUCAGGAUUCAGAAUUGACAGGAAAUACUUGUAAGUUCAACUAGAUAGUUGAACUCCUACAUAUGUAAUUGCUAGUACAACAUACAUCUUAACAAGGAAUCAACCAUCAAGAAAUCUAUCUAUGGCAUCUUAUCAGUAGUAGACACAGCUAAACAUAAUGUGAUACACAUGCACAAAGUUGGCAACAAACACACCACCAAAGUUAUCUGAUUUCAAUUGUUUAUUAACACAUGCAUAUCAUCUAGAAAGAACAUGUCACCAAUUUGCAUAGAAAGAACUUACCAACAGUCCAAGAAGUGUGACUCCUUCCUGUCGAACCACAUAGGAUCGAAGAAGAUUAGGAUCCUGGUUCAAGAAGAGAAUGAGAAUAUCUGUUCUGCAACCAUAGAAGCAAUUCCCUCUUAGAAAUUGAUUGCAAAGAAUGUAAAAUCAGAAUAGUCAAAAAGAUAAUGCAGAUCAUGAGAUCAAGGUUACUAUACCCAGUAAGCACAAGCUUCUUGUCUUCACUUUGCAAGACAUCGGUGACAGUGUCAAAGAUGCCCUCAUUUACCAUAUCUCUACAUACAAUGAAUGAAAAACUGAUCAGGAAUUCAGAAUGAGUUUGGCAUCAAUGCUACAUGGCAAAGUUCUGCAAUUUUAACCAAUGAAAGUUUGCUCUACGUUCUAACUUUAAGGAACUGACAUAUACAUAUUAAAUAUGACUUGUAAUAAUUGUGUCAAAAGUUUCUUUUAGAAGCUUUUUAUACUAAUUAAAGCUUGCUAAGCAUUGUGAAGGAACCAAACUGAAGUUAUAGUCAUAGCUUAAUUAAUUAAAAAAAAAUAGUAUAGUCAUAGCUUAAAAUUAUAAUUGUGCAGGAUCAAAUUUCCAAAGUAAAUGCACCUAUGCAAUCUCCCCAAUUAAAUACUCCAAUAAAAGCACUACCAAUAUUUUAGAUAGUCAAUCCAAAUAUUUCUUAAGAAAAUAGACAGGCAAACUUGAGAAGUAAUACCAAACUCUGCCAACAUAAUUAAAAGAAGGCAAUCAAACAGACAAUAGCAACCGAUUACAAAAUAUUGGAGAAAACAAAUUGCGUACUAGGCUGAUGCUGCGUGUAAACUUGUACCGCUCCAGAUGCUACAUACCUAAAAAGUCGAAGCUGCUGUACCAUCGGUAAGCUCUUGCUUAAACCACAAAACUCAUGCAAGAAGUUGAUCUAUCCAUUGUUUAGAGAAGCAAAACAAACAAAAUUAAGCAUCAGCAGUGAAGCCAUCUUAAAAGAAUUCUGGCAUUAACAUCAAAGAAGUUUAAAAGUACAAGAUAGAAGAAAACUCUUCCUUAAUACAGUUUAUAAGAAUACAAAAAUUAAACUCGAGCAAGCAUGAUUCCUUUUGAAUGAAUGAGAAGCUCAACCUCAGUUCCCAAGACAAUUGAUCUUUACGAACACUUCCCUAUAAGAUCACACCAUUAUGGUAAAACUCAUUUGCGACACCACUUUUUGGAAAGAAAAAAAGAGAGAGAAUAAUGCUAGCAAUACACUCACACUUUUCAACACACCUCUUUCGACACACUAGCACACUCAUAAAAAUAUGAAGAACAAAAUUUCACUGUUUGGUUGUGUUUUGUUCUAAGAUGAUAAGCAAUGAGCAGAAAUACUUCUGUUAAAGAGUCCCACAUUGAAUGAGAGAUGGCCUGAACGAAUGUUUAUAAGAGAGGGCAAUCCUCACCUCACAGGUCGGUUUUGUGGGGUCGUGUUAGGCCCAACCACAAAUUCUAAGAUGGUAUCAGAGACUCCUCCAAGAUCCAUUGGGCCACAUGCUAUCAGAUUUCCUCUAUCGGGCAACCCACCAUUUACACCCACACACCAAGCUCAAUAGUGUUGGCGUGAGGGGGUGUGUUAAAGAGUCCCACAUUGGAUGAGAGAUGACCCGAACAAGAAGUGAUGGAAAUCCUCACCUCAUAUGCCAGUUUUUUGGGACUGUGUUAGGCCCAACCACAAAUUCUAAGAACUUCUAAUACCUUUCCUCUUGUUGAGAUCUCACACCAUCUAAUGAUAUGGCUAAAUUAGCUAUUGUAACUGGUGGGUAGCCCUCAACCCCAUUAACUAACUUCUCGAUAUGAGUUAGACCCAGCCCGACUUCUAAGAUGGAAACAAAGUUCAGCACAUUUGUUGCUGGAUUACCCGCAAAUGUUCAGUCCAACAAACUUUGCAGCCCAAAUAUUAGACAUAUCGCCGAAUUUGAGGGAUCAUAAGUGGUGGCAUGCUUACCUACAUGAGCUAACACUUGGGGUUGAGUAAAGCUCAACCGAAAUUCUAAACUGACCUUCAAGCUUAGGAAAAAUUGGACACAAAAAUAAAACUAUUUUCAAAUAUUUCCUAUUAAAGACCCCACAUCGACUAGCUAUAUGGCCAUAAUACACACUAGCCUGAUAGUUUUAGGCUUGAGCUGAGCCUAGUUUUUGGCUAAUUUGCUGUCAAAUAAAAUAUGGAAUCACAACCUAUUACAUCCAAUCUUAACAUCUCCAAAUGUCUAACCCUAGCCUGAUAGCGUACAUAAGAUCACACGUCUAGGUAUAACGUCACAAUACACACUAGUGACUUGUAUAACUCUCAGGUAGCCUUUUGGGUUAAGUAAGGCUCGUCCCAGUCCACUCUCUAUAUUCAUAUUCCCAAUUAGGCUUAAAUACACUUUUGGUCCCUAUAAUUUAAAUGAAACAAGAUUUUAGUCCCCCAGUUUCACAAGUUUCAAGAUUUUUUCAGAGAACCCAUAUUUUUUAUGACAUGUCAUAUUCAGUAAUGAUGUUGAAUUACAUUUGAUGGUGUGACAUUUCUAUUUUGGACCAGAAACCCUGUUACAACUUUUUUUUUUUUGGUUUCUUUAAUCAAAUGUAAACCUAUCCUUCUGAAAUUCGCAAUUUCUAGUCCAAAUCAGCAAUUUCACGUCAUCAAAUGUAAUUCCACAUCAUUAAUGAAUGUGACACGUCAUAAAAAAUAAGCCUCAAACUGGGUUCUGGGAAAAAUUCCGAAACUUGUGAAACAGAGGAACUACAAUCCCGGAUAAUGAGAUAAAUGUAUAAGAAUGUUGCCAACGCUGAGACAAACAGAAGACUUUACCAUAUUUUUCUUUGAUUCAGGAGAGGUAGUUGGAGAUUUAAACCUAGCAAAGAACUCCCGGAUAAAUGCAUUGUCAUCUUUCAAUAAAGAAACAACCUAAAAAGUAACAAUGCAGUCAAAACUCAAAACUAAAGAUAACAAUCAGUAUAUUAAAAUAGAAGUCUUCUUUCCAUUCUAAUCAAAAAUCUUACAGUGGCAUUGUUUGCAUGUAUCAUAGAGUUGAGAUUUGCAGCAGUUGCCUCGUCUAAUACUCUAGUCAAAACAACAUCCUGAAAGCAGUCAGAGAAGAUAUGGAGAUUCAUCAGAGAGAAAGAGCAAGAUAUAUAUAUAUAUAUAUAGAGAGAGAGAGAGAGAGCAUAAUUAAAGUCUAAGAAGGAGCCAAACCUUCAAAAAACCAAUUUUAUAUGUUUGAUGUAUCUUUGAUAACACAGUUGAAUUUUUGAUAGGUAUGGCCUGAAAAACACAGUAGCUGAACAUAGUAAGUAAAACAUUCUUCAGUCUAUCUACCACCUUGCUUCUCUCCCACAAUAGAAGAAAGUAAUAAGAUCACAAAAUAGACCUCCUUAAAAACAACAUUCUCCUUUAAGAACUCACGAUGAUGUUGAGCAUGAGGAACCUCUGGAUUAUCUGAAAUAACAGAAAAAGAAGAGUUUCAAGAAAGAAAGGAAAAAAAAAAAAAAAAUCAUUUUUGGGGUUUAAAUACAGAGGGAAAUGACAUAUAAUAGAAAGAAAAAAAAAUCAUGUCAUAAACUUACAUUCAAGAGCACCAAUUAUGUCCAUUAUAAACUCAUCACUAAACAUUCGCUCAAAAAUCUGUGUGCUAUUGAGCAAAACUGCAUCAGAACAAAAAUAUGUCAAAAUUGUAACAAGAAUAAAUUGUCAAUAAAACGUUGGAAAUCAAAAUGACAUAAAAUAUGGAUACUGACUGAUCCCUUUCAUUAUUUUGAAAACCAUGUGAAGGCCAUCCAUAUUUUCCAAAUCCUCACAAACUCUGAAUACUUCAACGAGCUUCGGAAAAAACUCUUGCUGCAUUACAAACAUAAAUGAGAGGAAGCACAGGAUGAAAAAGAAAUUUAUGAAAGAUUCUAACGCACUCUGGCAUACAGAUGAACAAUGCAAUUAAAAAAUGAACAAAAUGAGCACAAGAACACUCUAAGUUUGCAAACAAGAUGGGCUAUUGUAUUAGGUGAAUUCUUUUCAUGGUUAACUAUAAUAGGUAGGUGAUUCAUGGUGGUGGUCCAUGUUAAAUUUGCUGUUUGUAUUUCCUCUUAUUUUUACUAUUCACUUAAUUUUAGAAUGGUCAUCAAUAGUAUUUAUGUACCUUAAUCUAUAUAUUGUAACCUAUGUCUAUGACUUUAUGAACAUUUGAAUCUGAAAUAAUAUUCCGUAUUUUUAUCAAUCUAAACACAUCGCAUAAAUGAAAAGUCAUACAUGACUUCAUAUAAAUUUCUAGUCAUUUUAUCCUUUUGGUCCAUGAUUGCUUAUUACAGAUGAAUACAAGUUUUGUAAAGGCUGCCUAAUGUCCACAACCAACAAUAUGAAUAAAUAUUUUGACAUAUAUUUGGGACAAGAAAUUCCUGGUUCCAGCUUACACAAUAUUCCACCAUAGUCAUACUAAAAACCGCCACAAACAAAAUUGAAGUUAUUGAAAUUGUCAAUACAAAAAGUACCAAAUGGGAUUGCUUGGAAUGAAAUGAUAAAAACUUGAUUAAUGGAUUUUAUUUUUUUGUUGAUUGAAUUAAUACUUCAAUUCACGGCUGAUCUCCAUUGAUUGUGAGAAAUCAUCAAAUCAUGCAGAAUGAGGGGAACCAGUAUACUCUAUGAACACAUCGCAAGCAUAUAAACUAGAAAUCAAGUUUAGCUUACAUCAGUUAAUAUAAGUUCUGUAAGUCGCAACUGAUCCGUAAUGCCACUCUCGACCACAGUCUGUGAACACAGAAAGAAAAGAUGGUGAUAAUGAUGAUGAUGACGAUGAUGAUAAAUUGCAUUCAAGUCAUAAAUUCAAGCUUUUAAAAACAAGAAAUAAUGGUUAGAACUAUAGAACAAAGUAAUUUAGUCAAACUCAUUUGCUAGAAGUGCUGUAAUACUCUACCAAGAAGUCAAGAUACUUCAAACAAGAACCAUGUCUGUUCUAUAUGCCGUUAUGAAACACAUACUAAGCCAAACACUUCAAAUACUUCUACUGGUAUUUUACAAAUGGUUUAAUUACUCUCUAAGUUUCUAAAUUAUUUUUAGAUUUUUAAAUAGGUCUCUAGGCUACAAAUAUUUGUAAUUGAGUCCCUGAAUUUGUCAUAAAUAUUUAAUUAGAUCCCUUAACUAAAUUAUUUUAAUCGAGUCCAUGAACUUUUAAUUGAUUUUUAAUUAGGUCCCUCCUAAACUUAUAAGUAAUUGGUAUUUUGGUCCCAAAAUUCAAGGACCUAAUUACAAAUCAUUUAAAAUUCAAGGACCUAAUUGCAAAUCAUUUAAAAUUUUAGGGACCCAAUUAAAAACUUUGUUGUUUAAGGGCCUAGAUACAAAUUACUCCUUCUGUCCCAUUUCAUAAUCCCCCUCUUCACUUUUCACAUGUAUCAAGAAAAUUUGGUAGUGUAAUUAAUGUACAUUUUGUGCUUAACUAUUGUCUUUUGUGUACAGAUGUAUCAAAUGUUUACUUUUCAUCUUCCAAGAAAAAUGAGUAGUAUUAAUUAUGAUUAUGUGUGAAAAGAAGUAAUAAAUGCACCUAAUGCGUCGAUCAAUCAUCUUCGGCAAAAUGACCGAGGCCUUAUAUUUAAGACAGUUUUGUUUUCAAAGGGAGCUUAUAGUUAGGGACGGAUAAGUACUAACAAAUUCAAGGAUCCAAUUAAAAAAAAAGGUUAGGGACCCUAUUUAAAAAUUCUCAUAGUUCAAGGACCUAAAGAGUAAUUAAACCUUUACAAAUCUAUAAAUUUGAAUCCUCUCAUCUAUCUUAAAAAAUGUACUUCUAUAUUAACUUCAUACUAAUUUUAUGACUUGUAUUAAGGUUGUAUUUAUUGUAGCAUAACGUAUACUACCUCCGUCCCUAAUUAUAGGAACCUUUUGCAAAAAUUACGGAGAUUAAGAAAGUUAGUUGUAGUAUUAAAUUUGUAUAUAAUUACUAGGCUAAAAUAUGGUUUUGGUCCCUGCAAAUAUGUCUCGUUUUGGUUUUAGUCCCUGUAAAUUUUUUUUGUUGUUUUUGGUCCCUGCAAAAUAUUUUGUUUUUUAAAAUAGUCCCUCCAAGGACUAUUUUCAAAAGUAAAAUAUUUUGCAGGGACCAUUUUAAAAAUCAAAAGAUUUUGCAGGGACUAUUUUUCUAAUAAAUGGGUUCAGUCAUCAUGUGCCACAUGUGCAAAUCAUCAUAAAAGUGGGGUCAAUGACCAAAACCAAAACGAGACAUAUUUGCAGGGACCAAACCCAUAUUUUAGCCUAAUUACUACUCCCUCUGUACCUUUUUAAGUGUCUCUUUUAGAGAAUUAUUUUGUUCCUAUUUAACUGUCACUUUCGAAGUUCAAUGUAACAUUAAAUGUUGUUUUACCAAUAUUAUCCUUACUUAUUUAUUACGGAGAGAGAAAUAUAUGAAAUUAGAUUUUAAAUUAAUAGGGUUAUUAUAGUAAAAAUACAUAUCAUUGUAUCAAAAGUAGUAACAUUUAUUGAGUGUAUUGGUUUGUGUAAAAUGUCAAAAAGUAACAAUUAAAAAGGAACGGAGGUAGUAUUAUUUUUACAAUUUUAUCCUUAAGAGAGAGAGUUAAUUUAUGUUUUCAACAUAAUAUUUAUUGUUGAUUGAAGAAAAAGAUGUAAAAUAAAUAAGGGUAUGUUGGUAAAGAAAUAAUUAAUGUACUUGGAAAUAUCAAAAGGGUCUUAUAAAAAGGGGGAUAUUUUUUUUUUAAAAAGGGUCUUAUAAUUAGGGACGGAGGUAGUAGUUUUUAAAAUCUGUCGCAUCCUUAUUCCCAUGUCCUAAAAGUGAUAUAAGUACUUGACCAUGAAUCUUGUGAAUCUGCUUUCUCCUCUCGGAAGGCAAGAAGCAAUAACAUAAAAGCAACACCAACAUAACAUAUGGCAUUAAAAAAAACACCAACGGAACAUAUGUGUGUAUCAUAAUCUGAGAUCAAAACUAGAUUCAUUAUGCAGCACAAAACUGUUGAUGAUUGCAAAGUGAAAUUGUUUGGAGAUACGUCAGAAACUUGGAAUUGAUGCAUUGCAAAUAAACAAACUAAGGUGGUAACACAUUAAAGUGAUAAAACAAGUACUUCUAAACUAUACUCGGAACUGUGGCUUGGAAGAUUAAAAACAAAAAGUUGUGGCCACAGUUGAUCUGCGUGAAGUAAGAUUCCAAAUAAAGAGAUAAUCCUAAAUAAAAACAUGAUAAAAUUGCAGAUCCAUAAAUAAAUAAAAAGUAGAAACAAAACAAAUGAGCGGAUUAAAGCAUAUAUCCAAACCUUAAGAAUCAAUGGAAGCGUUGAUAAUUCAACUGCAGGCAACUCACUCAACUCACUGUUUACACUGUGAAAUGCCUCACCUGAAAUAUACGAAAUAAACAGUAAGAUCGGUUGUGGGAUAACCGGCAACAAUAAAUAGAUAAAUCAGCAGGUCCAAUAUAUAUAUAUAUAUCAACAUAUAAAACCAAAGAAAUUGUUAACAAGAACUCUUAGGUGACAUGGCUAAGUUUGCUAGUAGUAUAAAGGCAAUGUUAGAACUCAGAUUUGCAUUGACUCAAUCAAGGUAUAGGAUCAAUAAAUCAUUGAUUGAACCAAAGAUAUAGUAACAUUAACAUCAUUUGCAACUGUUAGGUGUUAAUUAUUUAAGAUAAAAAAUAUUCAGUUAACAAAAUUGAUAAUCGUUAACUGAUUUUGUAAUUCUGGAUAUCUAAUUUUUUUUUUUGGUUACAUAUCUAAUAUUUAAAGAUGCUGUUUAAGUAUGGAUAUUCGAUAAAAGGAGAAAUAAUAAAAAGUUGAACAUCAUUGACAAUAACUUCAAAAAACUAACUCCUAUUUAUAGGGAUACAAAACUUCUAAUCCCCCCCCCCCAAAAAAAAAAAAAAAAAAACUUUUAAUGUUAAAUAAAAUAGAGAAAUUCAACUUGGGAGUUAAUAUUCAAAUGAUAAAAAAAAAAAAAAAAAUGCAAACAUUAUCCGAAUAUAGAAAGAAAUUGUAUUCAAAUUUUGCAUUACUUACUAUUUAAAGUAUUAAAAUGCAUAUUCCUUUGCACGUUGCAAAUAUGGUCCCUAAAUAAAACAAGCAUAGUAAUUAAGAUCAAUUCCACAUCAGAAGGAAGAAAACCCAAAGAAAAGUGUGAAGAAAUUAAAAUUUAGAAAGUCACUAGCAACCAUAUGUAAGAGCAUCCACCAGGUUCUUGAAAGCUUAGCGCUAUCUCAGUGGCAUAUUCUGGAUCUCUCCAUGAAAUAAUUGUAUCUAAAGGAUAAAAGAAAAUCUUCAAUCACACCACUAUAAAAUCUUCAAUCAAACCGCUAUAUAAAAUGAAUCCUCAAAUAUUUUAAAGCAUGAACAGAUGACUACUAAUCAUAGAUGAGCAACAGAAAGCAUGACAGCUACCAAUUUUUUUUAAAAGGAGAAAAUAAUAGCUAUCAAUUACCUUCUUGUUUUCGGUAAAUAUCAUCAGAAAUUAUGCGAUGCAAAAGUAUAGUCUCGUUGUCUUCUUCAUCAUAAACAAAUACGCCCAGCUCUUCUGAUCGCUGCAUUUUGAGAUGUCAUGAUAUUUCAUUCAUUUGAAUACAAGAAGCUUAAGAUUUAUCCAAUUAAAAAAUGAAAACCAACUUCAAAUACAAUGUAAUAGAAUGUAAUAACAAGACCAAUCAAACACCUAUUUCUUUUGAGUAAUAUAAUCAUGUGGAGAGGGAGGAAGAUGUACUGUCAUCAGACAAUGAGGAAAACCAGUACCUAUCGGUAUCACAAAUCCUUAACGAGAUUAUAUCUUAUGAAUUGCAAUUAAUAUUAUAAUUCAAAAUGCAAAGGUAAAAGCCCGAGAAUACGAAUAACCAGACAAUAAGGGGAAGUCGUGCAUGAACUGCCUCUCGAAAGGUGUGCGUACACACACGAACAUUUACAUAGUACCCGUUAUUUACAAUGUACAGUGUACUAACCUCCAAAUAAUCAACAGUGACAUGCCCAGUGCCCUGGUCGUCCCAUUUCCCAUCAUCAUUCAGACGGUAGACCUUGACACGCUGAAAUUCAAUAAGGAAAAAAUAAGUAAUAUAACAGUUGCAACAAAUGGAGACAUCAAUAGGGAAAAAGAACUGUGCAAAACAUUACCCUAGUUAUAUUGCAAAUGUAUAUAUAGUAUUACAUCAUAAAUAACAAAGAUAUAUCGGAACUAUAUAUGUCGGAACUACAUUCAUUGAACAAACUCAGGCAGCCCAACUGCUGACUAUGAUGAAAAUAGUUAUAGAAUAGCUGAAUACUGAAUUCCUUACUCCAUCAUUUGUUUUAUUUUCCUUUUUCAUUCAAGUAUUUUAGAGGGACUGGUUGAAACAAUUUAAAGCAAGAAGCAUCAGCAAACAAUACCAAAACAGUUUUAAUUAACCAAAUGAAAUGGGAAUGUCGCCACUUCACAUUUUCUCUUCCAUAAUCCAUAAUACGAGUAAAAUAAGAAUAAUACAAGGGUAAGAAAGAAAUACAAAGACACAAUAUUGUGAUAGAAACCGAUACCAAACAUAGAAAUAUAAAGGAAAUAAUUGAUUUCUAUUGAAUAAUUCUGGUCACUGUGGCAAGAGUUUUGAUUACAACAGGAAAUCUAGUUAACAGAGUAUAAGAGAGAAAACAAAAGAAAAUUAAGAUAGACACUUCCUAUCCAAGAAAUUCAAGAGUUUGGGUCUCUCCCUUGCAAGAAUUCGAGAGCUUGGUCUCUCCCAAUCAAUAUUUUCUAUUUAGUCCUAAAAUAAAUGCCUACUGACUUUUCUUCCAUUCCCCAUUCAUCCAAUAAAUGUAUAAUAACAUAACAGCUGCCCUAAUACUUAUAACUGCUGCCUGAUAAUAUAAUAACCGCAGCUAAUAUAUAAUAACAAUACUAAUAAGACGUCUAAGAUACUGCAAAUGAAGUUCUUUCCAUGAAACAUUGUAACUAGUAAACAUGACUGACUGACAAUUAGAAUAGUCAUUUUCAAUACAUAUUUAAUAUUUAAUGUAGUGAUAAAUUAUCCCAUCGGUUUUGCCUUUCCGUCCUGGAAGGCUGGAACCAAGUAAACGUUUUUUGGGGCUUCCUAGACGAUUAAAAAUACAUCUUUUGAACAACUUUCAAAAGUUUGCAGCAGACCAGCCAAGCUGAAAAUGGCUAAUCAACCAAAAUUUUCUAACGUUAGAUAUUAAUAUUGGAUAAGGGCGCUAAUGAAACAUAUUUCUAUUAGUAUUUGUAUUCUUCAACAGCUGAAAUCAGACAGUUAGGAUGUAAGUGAACUAGUCGAAAUUAAGUUGGACUGUGAAAAUAAUUGAUAAGCAUGCUAAAAUAUCACAUCCCAAAAACCCUAUUCAUUCCAUAAGGGUACUUAAAAUAGCUGCUAUAAAUUCACCCAAGGCUAAUCUAACAUUAUAAACACUACGUUUCAGAUUAUUCACUUCUGUCCAACCUACAUAUUUGUGCCAAGCUUCGAAUUGUUGUGGUGUUGCUACUGCACACAAUUAAUAACUCCGGUUCAAACAAAUCCGAGCUUAUCCAAAGUUAUCCAAUUAUCUCAAGAUUCUCAACAUAAACAGUUCCACGAUACCAGAUUCUUGUCUCAUAACAACGAAAAAAAGUACUAUGAGCACAAAGCAUACCCAUCUCAAAGAAAGGUACAAAUGCAACAACUGAACACUCACCUUUCAGUACAUUUCUAGAAGGUUUUAAUUUUGACUUUCAUUAUAUUAUAUAACUCCUGGCCAUUAUUAAUUACGCUCUGCUAAAAAGUUCCUAAUUGCACUUGUUAAACAAUAAACAUGGUAUUAAAUGCUUCAAAUUAUUUAAAGAAAGUAUAUAUGUUGCCUAGAUGCUUAACCUUUUACCUAACAUACUUUAUACUUUUGUUACCUUAACCAAUACUUCAAAGGCACUUAAGCAAAUCUCUAAAUCAAAUUAUUUUUGGUAUAAAAUCAUGACAAUGGGGAGUGUAAAAAUAUGUGAUUUCUGUGUAAAAUUAUGUGUCCAUAAUGAGAUCACACAAUGGUUUAACAAUAAAUGCAUAGAAUGCUUAAUAAGUGAACACUAGCCUAAGAAGUUGUAUACUCUAGGAGUAAUAACAAUUAAACUAGGAAGUUGUACAAUUAAAGGAAUAUCUAAAGAUUCUUAAUUUUAACCGGGAGAUUUGAACCAAUAACUUCAAGCAAACAACUCAAACUCCCUCACCACCAGCUCAAUCCUUGUGAUUUGAUGACAUGAAUUGACUACCAUGUAUUUAUGAGUCAUGAAAAGAUUUUGGUCAUGUUUGGAUAAACAGCUUAUAACACAAUUGUGUAUCAUGAUAAGCACUUAUAAGCUAUUUCUAUAGAAAAAGUUAAAAUAAAGUUAGAUUGUUGCUAUAAGUUGGUUUAAUCUUGGGAACUUAUGCAAAUAAGUUUAAAACAGCUUAUGAACAAGUCAUAAGUUGUUUUUAUAAGUUCUCUCAAACAGUACCUAUGCCACUAAAUAAGCUCGAACAAGUCAAUACAAACACACCAUUUGACUAUGAAAAACAGUUGAACUGAAUUUAGAAGCGGUAACUAACUAACACCGAUUAAUUCAAAAUGCGUCAAGCUCAAUCACCAACUCACCAUAUAAAUCAAAUAAACUCUAAACACAAUAUUAAAAAUAAAAAGAAGCUGAAAAAGGUUGAAUUACAUAAUAAGCAAACUUGCCUGCAAAGAAUUAACGUUUUCCUGCGAUUUGUCAGGUGCGCCCAUGACAGCAAAGUAAAAAUUUGAAAGCAGAGAAAGUGAAUCUUGGAGGUGAAAGUUGAAAUUAGGGUUUAAAGAGAGGGAAUUGAGGUUUGGGGGAUCAAUUGGAAACCCUAAACCGCCAUUGAUGAAGUUGGAUUAAGCGAAAAGAAGAAGAAGAAGUAGAAAUGAAUUGUGUAUUAGGCGGGAGUGGAAUGGCGGAAAAGCCACUGUGCAAUUGGUGAAACUACGAAUGCGCCAUUGGAUUCAGUGCACUGCCCGCGCUUAUCCUUGUUUGUCUUCUCACUAUGUGGAUACACGUGUUUCCUUCUCACACUAUUAGCUGUUCAAAUUUUUUUCCCAAAAAAGAAAAAGGAUAAAAUAUAAUUUUGAACUUAAAAUUUAGGUGAGGAAUUCAAAAUAGAAAAGACUUAAAAACGUAAAUGAGAGGCAUUUACUUUUACCUCCAUUUUUGUAGCUAAUUAUGGGCUAUUUAAUUUUGUAAACUUUUAUUUUACAAAUUAUGCAUGAUAAAGUUGAAAAUUUUA